AACUAUUUAUUUAUUGACUGAUUGUCUUGCAUAAAUUUAGACAUCGAUGCAACGGUGUCCAGAUACUAUCACUACACUGUAUAGUCAGAUUUGCUUUCUGUAGAGUGCACCUAGAGCUGCAGCCUGGACCUGCCGGCAGCCGGCAGGGUUGGCCUCAGCGAUGAGGUGGUACAAUGCGAUGGCUAGCUCUUGUGCAUCUGUUGCCCGUAUAGAUGAUCUCCGUGUUGUUCAUAAGAAAGAAAUGCUGUACAAUUAACAGGAAAAGGACAUAACUUUCAUGGGAAAAAACCUACUCCCUGAAUAGGGCAGCUACCUGUAAAGGAAAGGAAAAGAAAGGCAAAACAAAGAAGAGAAGCAUCAGUUAAAAUAAAGUUCAAUAUGUCUAUUUUCUACUUGGAUUUCAUCAUUUGCAAUUACAUCCCUUGAUUUAAAAUCAACAUUUUUAGAAGUGCGGAACUGGGAUAAAAUGCAUUGUCCUGAAUGUAACAUAACGUAGAGAUUAUGUUUCCUUUUGCAGGCAUGCAUGUAUGUAGACAUGGAUGACAAAAAAGACGUUUCUUCUUUCGAUGAAGAAGAAUCACAGAUCUCCGACUGGAGCUUAAGUUCAGAAUUACUGUUGACCCCAGCCAGUUAAAACCUAUACAUGCAUAUCAACUCCUCACUUGACGGAGCCAAGGCAGGCCGACGGGUACCUCAUGGGAUGUGGGGCCUGUAUGUUUAUGUCCCUACAUCUUAUAUUUGGAUAAAAUUAUUACUGAAUAAAAUAGCAUCAAGAAGAAACAAGAGGAACAUAUGAUUAAAAUGCGCUCUCUUAGUGUGCUAAUAUGCAUCUUUGGUGGUACUUUUGCUAAAAACCGAGUACCUAAAAAUAAAUGCAAACACGAGAGAACUCAAAGCACCAUAUACACAGCCUAAAAAUAUACUACAAACUUCAUUGAUCCCUGCUGAAGACGAAAACAUGAGGCUGGAUGGAGAAGCUGCUCCACAGUGCUCAAGGAUCGUUGCCAGAGACCAAAACUUAGAGCUUCAUGGAGAAAUUGCAUGUCUGACGAUUGUAGUGAUGCUCACUGAAUAUCUUGGGAGUCGUUGGACUGAUCUUUUGGUGGGACAUGUUCUUUCCUUUCACAUAUGAACGCAAUAUUUAUAACUGAAUUUCCACAUAUUAACUCAAAUUGAUGGGCAUGAACUGGGCCAAAGACCUUUCAGAAAUGUAACACAUCACUUAUAAAAAAAUGUGUAUCUCCAUGAGACCAUACUCUGCUGCACAAGUAUUAGAACAUACGGUCUCAGUGUUCGGACUCACUUAUGAAGGUAUCAAGAAGGACAAAGGGUCAUCAUUAAGUUUUACACCGAGUAUGUUAUAUCUACAGUUCUACCAUUCAGAAAAAAGAAGCUAUCAGCGAUGCAAUCUUUUCUUCAUCUCGUGGUAUCAACAAGUAGCAUCAUUGAUGAUACAUUUCCUCCCUGCAGAACAACAAUGUUUUUUGGCAAAGAAGGAAAAAAACAUAACUAUCGUGAGAAAGAAAGAACAAAAUUAAACACGUCAGAAUGACGGCUAUAAUCAACACUACUUCAGGGCUGAACAUUCCAAAAUCCAACAAAGUAAAGUAUUCAACAAAUGAAAAUGCCACACAAAUAUAUACAUCGGUCAGAGGUUAAAUAAAACUUGUAGAUCUAUACUAUACCAAUUCCAAAUCAAUUGAUGUUCAGUCUAUCUAAGCAAAGCCCUGAUAUUCAUAUGCAUGAGGCAGCGGACAAUAUUGUUCAGAGAACAAGGAUUUAAUUCCGGACACUGAUAACUUAGACGGCUCCACAUGGUAAAGCUCUAGCAACAAGAGAUAACAAAAGGGAACAUAUAAAAAUUCAACAAAUAACAUGGAGAAGGCACAAAUUCACCUAGAAUUGUGAAUACUUCGGGUUAAAAAAUUGUAAGCACUAAUUGUUAUAGUACUAAUGAGGCAGUGAACAAAAAACAUAAGCAGGUAAUUUCCGCAUCAAACAUGCUCGGCUAUUGACAUUAAUAACAUGGUCAAAGAGAAUAUUUGCCUCCUGUGUGAGGCAAAGGAGACAUAGUCUUAGAUGAUUGCCUGUACGGUUUCCCCUGCCUUGUGCAAACAUUAUACCCUUUCCUUUCUACUCGUACAUGUUCUUCUCCCCUUGAUGAAAAAGCAGAGCACCUCAUAGUUCCUCAAAAAAAAGUAGAGUUGAGAACAAAUCUGAUGAAUCAUAGACAAAAGCAGAUCAUGUACAGACGAAUGCUUCAGUAGGUAUCGGUCGUACCCAGUCAUGUAAGCCAUUUUCAUCUGGUUAUCUCUUACAAAUAAUCAACCCAAAUUCCUGUAUACACAAGUGAGAUUAGAAAAUUCAGAGAAACAUCAUUGUCAUUGCACUGGAUGUCAUAUAGGCAUUAGCCAGUAGACAAACCACAAAUAUGGGAGGAAAAAAUAGUACCUGCUUGUUAGUAUUUGGCAUAUGUCAAAAGCAUGAAUGAAGUGGAGGUGUCAUGCCGCACCACACACGAACUUAUCCCUUCAACAGUAUCAAGUUAAUCAGUUAUGCUACUUUUAUUGAUCUCAAUAUGGUCAAUUGGAAUUUGUGAUAACAGAGCUUCAUUUUUGAUGAAAUAUUUGCUAUGUAUUUCUGAUGUGUUAAGGUGGUGUUCUGUGAACCCUGACAUGUCUUGUUAUUCGAGGUUCCAAUCGAAAUAACAUACAGAUUGCAAUGGACGCCAUCCUUUGCUGAUGUACUUUUCACGGAAAAAAUCUUACAUAGACCAGGAUAUUCUGAAUAUCAUACACUGGUCCUAUCACAAGAUGUGUGUAGACUAAACUUGAGAUAGUACUCUUUUAUCAGAUCAUAUAUAUUGGAAUAAAAAACUUAGAAUGAAACCAUCAUUCACUAUAGCUCAAUUGGUAAAAUUCAUGUGAACAACAAUUUAUAAACUUACAGCUACAUGAUUGGCUAUCCAGAUCUUGUGGAAAUACCAAAGUGAGAAAGAUGGAAUCAUAAAAUAUGUACAAUACCUAAAUGGAAACUUAACAUGAGAAUGGAAGUGCCAGAUACACAUCAAAACAUUAAGCUCUUGGAAUAUACAAGGGAAGUCCCAUAAAUUCUUUUUUAGUGCAGCACCCACCAAGAGUGAACUUUCACUCAGCCUCUCUUUAAUUAGAGAUCAGAACAGACCAGAACUGUGUUAUAGAUGCUUUGAUAACCUGAAACUAAACUACAAACGGGUAAGAUGUGGAAAGAAUGAAGAGGAGGAGGGAGGGAGAAGAAUAAUAUAUCUUUUUCUUUUUCUAUAUCACAGAACUGAACUUGUAACAAUAUUAAUCAAUUCAAGGAUUCAGUUCAUGAAAAUAGAAAAGGUAAAUUGAUAUGUACAAGCACGCUUAUUAUUGAGGUAGACCAUAUCAAACUCUGCACAGCUACUCGCUGCACCAUAUCAAUCAACCAACGACCUGCCCUAGCUCGGUUACCAUCAUUGUGCAUGCAUCACAGAGGCUAAAUCUUUUAGGCAAUACAAACAUACAAAAUUACUAUAUAGCACAGAUUAUGGUGGGCCAGAACUGAAACAAAAGACAUAAACAUGACCAAAAAGAAGAACUAAGGGCACCGAUAAAUAGCAAAAGGGUAAAUUGGCACCAAUCUGUAGUACAUGCCUAGAAAAUUGUUUAUGGUAAAAAUCCAAUCUUUUAAAAGAACACAAAAUAAGGAGUAUAGCAAAGCAAUGUCUAGACUGAACUGAAGUCAAUUUACCUUGCAGCCGUCUUGGAAUCAGGUCGAACAGUUGGUGGGCGUCGAAGUAGUCCAUCGUUGCUGCCAUCGUACUCCGGCAUGUGGAGGUCGCCGGCUGUAGCGGGGGCGGGGGCGGGGGCAUGCGCAUGCAAGACGUACCGGUGGAUGUGGAGGGCGCCAAUGACUGUUGCAUCCCAUGUCGAGCCACCACCCCAUGCGAUCUGGGCUGGCUGUGUUCUCUUUGCCGCCGCCGUCGCCGCCGCCGUCCAAAUCUCUGCUGCAUGGAUGGAGAUGGGUACCGACGCAGGGAAGGAAUAUUUUUUUUUUGAAAUGGUCACGGGGGAAAGACUCCCCACCUGAAUAUAUUUCAAAAGUCAAGCAAGAGUUACAGAGUUCACAAAUUGUGUGAGGAGAGGAAAUCACGCCACAAGCUAGCAUGUCCCUUUAGAGUUUCAGACUUAAGCCGAUGCAUCCAGAGUAUCAAAUCAUCAAGGAUAGCUCUAAUAGAAACAGAAGCAUCAAUAUCCAGCCCUUGGAAAACCUUUUUGUUUCUUGCAUCCCAGAUUUUCCAGAGGACGAGGAGGAGCAUGAAGGGCCGAACUGAAGAAGGGAGCAGAGCGGGGGGAGCAGUGUUGAAGAACUCGCUGAUCGGCGUGGCCCUAGGCCGGAUACCUGUUGCGCGCCAGAUUCUUCUGGCAGCCGGGCAGGAGAAGAAGAGGUGGUCGCGGUCCUCCACUAGAUGCCCACACCUUGGGCAAGAAACAUGGUCCAAAAUAUGUUUUUUGUGCAGAUUCUUCCGAGUGUUGAGGCGGUUGAGGUAGAACAGCCACCCAAAAAUUAUAAAUUUUUUGGGCACCAUCGAAUCCCAAAUGACAGCAAGAGCCGGAUCAUCCAGCUGAUCAGAGAGAGCUGCAUAUGCUCCACGAGUGGAGAAGGCAGUACCGUUGAGCAAGCAACGAUUAUCCGGGACCUGAGAAAGUACACAUCCCUGCAACAACAAGUUUAGAGAAGCAAGUUCUGCGACCGCAGUAGAGGUUAGCCGAUUACAAAGAGCAAGCUCGAUCCCAUCCUGCAAUAAGGUGGCAACCAUGGCAUUUGGGUUUGUAUGGUGGGAGAAAAGAGCAGGAAAGACUAAAGCCAGAGGCUCCGGCUUUAGCCAACGAUCUAACCAAAAAAGGUGGAGCAACCAUCUCUGACUACACACUGUGAAAUCUCUCUCAAACAAUGCAAAUGCUUAAAAAUUGUUUUGGCCAGAAAGGAGUUGUUCUUACCAUGGCCUAUGUGGAGUGGUGAGUGAUGCAGGACCCAGUCCUUCCAGGGAAGGUUAGAGGAGUGAAGGAAUUUGUAAGCAAAUUUCAGCAGUAAGCAAAAGUUUUGAGUGCGAAGGUUUUUGACACCCAGACCACCUGCAUUCCUAGGGGAGCAGACUUUAUCCCAUGCAACCAGGCAUUUUGCCCCUGAGCACGUAUCCUCGUUGGACCAGAAGAAGGUUCGUCUACGCUUGUCGAUCGCCUCGAUAACCUUGAUAGGGAGGGAGAAGCAAAGCAUAAAGUAGGUAGGAAGACUGUCAAGGACUGCCGAGAGGAGAACAAGUUUGCCACCACGAGAGAGUAGCAGAGCGCACCAACCAGCGAGGUAACUAUCGCAACGGUCAAUGACAGGUUGAAAGGCCAAAGGUGGAAGCUUGUAGGGGGAGAGAGGGAGGCCGAGGUAGGUUUGCGGGAAGGAGGAGAUGUUGGUAGCGAGAUCGGAGGCCAUUUGAGCAGCAUCAUCGGGAUCGACGUUAAGGGGGAUGAAGGUAGUCUUGGUGAAAUUAAUUUGUAGGUCGGUGGCAGCAGCAAAACUAUCUAGGAUAUCUUUUAGAUGUUUGGCGGCAACAGGAGUGGCAUGGACGAUGAUGAGCAUGUCGUCGGCAUACUGAAGAACGGGGGAGGGGAGGUUGGGGCAAAGAGGAUGACGAAGUUGACCCCUUUGAAAGGCCUUGAUGAUCAAUUGUUGCAGUAUAUCUGCAAUGAUGAUAAAGAGGUAGGGCGAGAGAGGAUCACCCUGCCGGAGGCCAUUCUUACAUUGAAUCCAUCUUCCGGGGAUGCCAUUAAGCAUGACUGCCGUGGAACCCGUGUUUAGGAGAGACUGGAUCCAAGCGCACCAACGAGGGGGGAACCCUCUAACCUGCAAAGUGUGAAGGAGGGAGGACCAACAGACAGAGUCAAAGGCUUUCCUGAAGUCAAGUUUUACGAUGAGGGUGGGGGCUUUUCUUUUAGUGCAGCAGUGGAGGAUGUCGGCCGCAUAGAGAAAGUUUUCUGAGAUGUUUCGUCCUGACAGAAACCCCGUUUGGUCCGCAUGAACCAAGAGGGGAAUGAGUUCCUUUAGACGGUUAGUAAGGAGUUUUGCAACUCCUUUUAUAGGGCAGUUUUGGAGGGAGAUUGGUCUGAAGUCUGCAGGGGAUCGAGCCUCAUUAUGCUUAGGGAUAAGGACAAUGAGGGCCCUGUUGAGACAGGAGAUAUCGGUCGUUUGGGCAUGAAAUUCAGGGAAGAAGUGCUUGAUUUUUACUUUGAGAGUAUGCCAGAAUUUUCUGUAAAACCCUGGCCCGAAGCCAUCCGGGCCGGGGCUGGCAUUUUUAUACAUGGAGAGGAAGGCGUGGGAGAUUUCUUCGUCAGUAAAGGGAUCAUCCAAAGAGCGGAGUUGAGGGAUGGGCGUGGGAUAGAGGUCUGGAAGUGAGAAGGACCAGGAGGGUUGGAAGGCAGUGCCAAGAAGGGAUGUGUAGUAAGCCGACAGGAUACAGGAUUUGACACAAGGAAGGAAUAUGAAGGCUGGUGGUUUGGUCUCCGGCGAGGCAGUGGCUGGUGUGGGCUUUGCUGGUGGGAUUCAUCAGCCAUGGGACGUGUGGGAGAGGUGUGAAGGGGGGGCCUUUUUAUAGGCACGCUGGUACUGCACGUGGCAUGGUGCAUGGAUGACAGAUUGGCCGGCGAUGGGGUUGAGAUGGCACUGCAUGAGAGUUCCAGAAUCAUGACGAGAAAGCAGGAGUGGAGAGGUUAGCGGUGACUGGUGGGCUAGACCUCAAGAUAUUUUAGAUCGUCAAAGCCCAUGAAACACACGUGCACACAAUGCAAAUAGUCAAAGCGGUAGAGGGCAGUCAGUAAACCACAACAGCAACACGCGUCACGUUUAUAAGGGCUGUAAAAAAAGUUCAAAAAAUCCAGAAAAAAGGAACCCUUACGGGCCUAGAAUUCUUAGUAUGUAGGACUAAGAGGUAGCGCCAAAGAGGUGGAUGCAUGUCCCAAGCCAGCUAAAACCAAACCUUAGGUCGUAUAAGGCACAUGGGCGGAAGUGGAGGUGACGCAACACCUUUUGACUUGGAUUUGGACUCAAAUUCUGCACCAUCUCCAACUCAUAGGGAAUUUGAAGGGGAAUCCAAUUGUGUGGAAGAUGGUUUCUUAUUGCACCAAGGAAAAAACGUGUCGACUGGCUAUAGUGAGUGGUCUUUAACAAAUCUAGUCUAAUCUUAGCCUGUCAUUUGAUACAUGGCAAACCCAACAAAUCAGGGUAAGAUUAAGGUUCUCGUAGAGUGCUUGAAAGGUGCCAUUCCGAUGUGGAAUCAUACUCAAUCGAAAAGAGGAAACUUAUGUAUGACAGAACAUGGGAUUUUCAACCAACAGAUCUUCUUACCUCUGGACCAAAACCUUUAGCUAUUUGCUGCUCGAUCUACAACUUGGUUUAAAAUGAGCAAGCCGAUAAGCUUUCCAAAAAAACACUGAAUUUCGAGUCGGGAUGCAAAAGUUAACAAUGUUUGAAGUCAUGCAUGUUUGUGCAGUCCUGUAAUGCCCCGAGACCGUUGCGCCAGCUGUCUUCCAGUUAUGUGCGUUGUUGCCAUGUCAUUCGCUUGUGUGUUGCAUUUUGUCAUGUCAUCAUGUGCAUUGCAUCAUCAUGUUUUCAAACUUGCAUCCGUCGGGUUCCCCCAGUUCUGUCCGUUGUCCGUUCUGAGCCCAGACACACUUGCACGCGCCCGCGGCACAUCUGAAAUAUUAUUUUAUAAGUGGCAUAAAAAUGUUCUCAGAAUGGGACGAAAGUUGGCAUUCGGUGUCGUUAUGUCGUGAGUAGGCCGCCUGCCAAGUUUCAUCGUAUUCGGAGUUCGUUUUAUAGCCCAACCGUUAAACAUAUAACGACAUUAUAGUCAGUCAAUGGUCGGACGUUUUCGGUCUCCGAAAACCCAUGUCGGGCCGCUUUCUCUUCUCUCCUCUCAGUCCAAGCCCUUCUUCACAGCCCAUCGAGCCCACCUACCUACUGAUACGUCUCCGUCGUAUCUACUUUUCCAAACACUUUUGCCCUUGUUUUGUACUCUAACUUGUAUGAUUUGAAUGGAACUAACCAGGAUUGACGUUGUUUUCAGCAGAACUGCCAUGAUGUUGUUUUAUGUGCAGAAAACAAAAGUUCUCGGAAUGACCUGAGACUCCACGGAAUAUCUUACAAUAAAUAAUAAAAAAUCCUCGCCAAAGAUGAAGACCAGGGGGCCCACACCCUGUCCACGAGGGUGGGGGGCGCCCCCCCCCCCCCUAGGGCGCGCCCCCCUACCUCGUGGGCCCCCUGGAGACCUCCCGACUCCAACUCCAACUCUAUAUAUUUGCUUUCGGGGAGAAAAAAAUAGAAGAGAAGAUUUCAUCGCGUUUUACGAUACGGAGCCGCCGCCAAGCCCUAAAACCUCUCAGGAGGGCUGAUCUGGAGUCCGUUCGGGGCUCCGGAGAGGGGGAUUUGUCGCCAUCGUCAUCAUCAACCAUCCUCCAUCACCAAUUUCAUGAUACUCACCGCCGUGCGUGAGUAAUUCCAUCGUAGGCUUGCUGGACGGUGAUGGGUUGGAUGAGAUUUACCAUGUAAUCGAGUUAGUUUUGUUAGGGUUUGAUCCCUAGUAUCCACUAUGUUCUGAGAUUGAUGUUGCUAUGACUUUUUCUAUGCUUAAUGCUUGUCACUAGGGCCCGAGUGCCAUGAUUUCAGAUCUGAACCUAUUAUGUUUUCAUCAAUAUAUGAGAGUUCUUGAGCCUACCUUGCAAGUCUAUAGUCACCUAUUAUGUGUUAUGAUCCAUUAACCCCGAAGUGACAAUAAUCGGGAUACUUACCGGUGAUGACCGUAGUUUGAGGAGUUCAUGUAUUCACUAUGUGCUAAUGCUUUGUUCCGGUUCUCUAUUAAAAGGAGGCCUUAAUAUCCCUUAGUUUCCAUUAGGACCCCGCUGCCAUGGGAGGGUAGGACAAAAGAUGUCAUGCAAGUUCUUUUCCAUAAGCACGUAUGACUAUAUUCGGAAUACAUGCCUACAUUACAUUGAUGAAUUGGAGCUAGUUCUGUGUCACCCUAUGUUAUGACUGUUACAUGAUGAACCACAUCUGGCAUAAUUAUCCAUCACUGAUCCGAUGCCUACGAGCUUUCCAUAUACUGGUUUACACUUAUUUACUUUCCCGUUGCUAUUGUUACAAUCACUACAUAAUACCAAAAAUAUUACUUUGCUUUCAUUACUCUUGUGUUACCGUUACCACCACUAUCAUAUUACUUUGCUGCUAAACACUUUGCUGCAGAUACUAAGUUUCCAGGUGUAGUUGAAUUGACAACUCAGCUGCUAAUACUUGAGAAUAUUCUUUGGCUCCCCUUGUGUCGAAUCAAUAAAUUUGGGUUGAAUACUCUACCCUCAAAAGCUGUUGCGAUCCCCUAUACUUGUGGGUUAUCACCUAUCCCCCCUCCGACCGGAAGCGUCCGAUCGGCAUCGGAGGGUCCAGAAACAACCCCUAGACCCAAACCCUAGCAAUCUUUGCUAUAUAUGGACACCCUCCUUCCAAAUUUGACAUCCCCUAGUCUCCACCUACCUCCAUCCACCUACCCUCCUCAAUUUCCGCAUCUGCCCGCUUCCCCGCCGCCACUUGGCACGCUGCCAUUCGCUAGCCGUCGCCACCACCCUCGGCCUAUCGCGUCGCGCCACCUGUCCCCAGCGCCUCCCCACGCCCCUGCGCCACCGCGCGGCCCGCCAGGACCCAGAUCGGGGCCCUAGAAUCCCAUUUGCGGUCGAACCGCGCCGCUACCCGCUUCUCACGUCGCUCAAACCCCCACCCGAGUGAUUCCUCCUCACCACGCCCCCUCGCGCCCAUCGACUCACCGGAGUCGCUGCCGGCGACCACCUCCGGCCAGGUCGUGCUGCCGCUUGACCCCUCUCUCUCUGUUCCCUUUCCCUUCCUCCCCUCACCAGCUCUUUCCCUUCCUCUGUUGCCACAGGGAACCGCCGCCGCCGCCCUGGAUCUCACCACCGACCGGAGCCACUGGAGCUGAGCCACCGUCGUCCUGCUUGACCCCUGCUACCUCUUGAGCACUGCGUUUGUUUUCCCUUGAAGAGGAAAGGGUGGUGCAGUAAAGCAGUGUAAGUAUUUCCCUCGGUUUUUGAGAACCAAGGUAUCAAUCGAGUAGGAGACCACGCGCGAGUCAUCUCGUACCUACACAAACAAAUAAGAACCUCGCAACCAACGCGAUAAAGGGGUUGUCAAUCCCUUCACGACCACUUGCAAGAGUGAGAUCUGAUAGAGAUAAUAAUAAUAAGAUAAAUAUUUUUGGUAUUUUUAUGAUAUAGAUUGAAAGUAAAGAUUACAAAAUAAAAUAGAUUGGAAACUUGUAUGAUGGAAAAUAGACCCGGGGGGCAUAGGUUUCACUAGUGGCUUCUCUCAAGAUAGCAUAAGUAUUACGGUGGGUGAACAAAUUAUUGUCGAGCAAUUGAUAGAAAAGCGAAUAAUUAUGAGAAUAUCUAGGCACGAUCAUGUGUAUAGGCAUCACGUCCGUGACAAGUAGACCGACUCCUGCCUGCAUCUAUUACUAUUACUCCACACAUCGACCGCUAUCCAGCAUGCAUCUAGAGUAUUAAGGUCAUAAGAACAGAGUAACGCCUUAAGCAAGAUGACAUGAUGUAGAGGGAUAAACUCAUGCAAUAUGAUAUAAACCCCAUCUUUUUAUCCUCGAUAGCAACAAUACAAUAUGUGUCGUUUCCCUUUUUGUCAUUGGGAUCGAGCACCACAAGAUUGAACCCAAAGCUAAGCACUUCUCCCAUUGCAAGAAAGAUCAAUCUAGUAGGCCAAACAAAACUGAUAAUUCGAAGAGACUUGCAAAGAUAAACCAAUCAUACAUAAAAGAAUUCAGAGAAGAUCCAAAUAUUGUUCAUAGAUAAUCUGGAUCAUAAACCCACAAUUCAUCAGAUCUUGACAAACACAGCGCAAAAAGAAGAGUUACAUCGAAUAGAUCUCGAAGAGAAUCGAGGAGAACUUUGUAUUGAGAUCCAAAGAGAGAGAAGAAGCCAUCUAGCUAUGGACCUGAAGGUCUGAGGUAAACUACUCACACAUCAUCGGAGGGGCCAUGGAGUUGAUGUAGAGGUCCUCCGUGAUCGAUGCCCCCUCCGGCGGAGCUCCGGAAAAGGCCCCAAGAUGGGAUCUCUUGGGUACAGAAGGUUGCGACAGUGGAAGUAGGGUUUCGUGGUGCUCCUGGAUGUUUGCGGGGUAUAUGAAUAUAUAUAUAUAUAUAUAUAUAUAUAUAUAUGUGUGUGUGUGUGUGUGUGUGUAUAUAUAUAUAGGAGGAAGAAGUAGGUCGGUGGAGCAACGAGGGGCCCAUGAGGGUGGAGGGCGCGCCCAGGGGGUAGGCGCGCCCCCUGCCUCGUGGCCUCCUCGAUUGUUUCUUGACGUCCACUCCAAGUCCCCUGGAUCAUGUUUGUUCCAAAAAUCACGCUCCCGAAGGUUUCAUUCCGUUUGGACUCCGUUUGAUAUUCCUUUUCUACGAAACACUGAAAUGGACAAAAAAACAACAAUUUGGGUUGGGCCUCCGGUCAACAGGUUAGUCCCAAAAAUAAUAUAAAAGUAUAAAAUAAAGCCCAUUAACAUCCAAAACAGAUAAUAUAAUAUCAUAGAACAAUCAAAAAUUAUAGAUACAUUGGAGACGUAUCAAGCAUCCCCAAACUUAAUUCCUGCUCGUCCUCGAGUAGGUAAAUGAUAGAAACAGAAUUUUUGAUGUGGAAUGCUUCCUAACAUAUUUCUCAAUGUAUUUUUUUCUUUAUUGUGGCAUGAGUGUUCACAUCCGAAAGAUUCAAGAUAAAAGUUUAAUAUUGAUAUAAAAAUAAUAAUACUUCAAGCAUACUAACUAAGCAAUCAUGUCUUCUCAAAAUAACAUGGCCAAAGAAAGUUCGUCCCUACAAAAUCAUAUAGUUUGGUCAUGCUCCAUUUUCGUCACACAAGAAUGCUCUCAUCAUGCACAACCUCGAUAACAAGCCAAGCAAUUGUUUCAUACUUUAGUAAUCUCAAACUUUUUUCAACUUUCACGCAAUACAUGAGCGUGAGCCAUGGAUAUAGCACUAUGGGUGGAAUAGAAUAUAAUGAAGGGGGUUAUGAGGAAAGACAAAAAAGGAGAAAGUCUCACAUCGACGCAGCUAAUCAAUGGGCUAGUGAGAUGCCCAUCAAUUGAUGUCAAUGCAAGGAGUAGGGAUUGCCAUGCAAUGGAUGCACUAGAGCUAUAAAUGUAUGAAAGCUCAACAAAAGAAACUAAGUGGGUGUGCAUCCAACUUGCUUGCUCACGAAGACCUAGGGCACUUGAGGAGGCCCAUUGUUGGAAUAUACAAGCCAAGUUCUAUAAUGAAAAAUUCGCACUAGUAUAUGAAAAUGACAAAACAAGAGACACUCUAUCAUAAAUAUCAUGGUGCUACUUUGAAGCACAAGUGUGGAAAAAGGAUAGUAGCAUUUCCCCCUUUUUUAAUUUUUUGGGCCUUUUUUUUUAUUUGGCCUUUUUUUUCUUUUUUAUGGGACAAUGCUCUAUUACUGAUGAUCAUCACACUUCUAUUUAUUUACAACUCAAUGAUUACAACUCGAUACUAGAACAAGAUAUGACUCUAUAUGAAUGCCUCCGACGGUGUACCGGGAUGUGCAAUGACUCAUGAGUGACAUGUAUGAAAGAAUUAUGAAUGGUGGCUUUGCCACAAAUACGGUGUCAAGUACAUGAUCAUGCAAGGCAAUAUGACAACGAUGAUGCGUGUCAUAAUAAACGGAAUGGUGGAAAGUUGCAUGGCAAUAUAUCUCGGAAUGGCUAUGGAAAUGCUAUAAUAGGUAGGUAUGGUGGCUGUUUUGAGGAAGAUAUAAGGAGGUUUAUGUGUGAUAGAGCAUAUCAUAUCACGGGGCUUGGAUGCACCGGCGAAGUUUGCACCAACUCUCAAGGUGAGAAAGGGCAAUGCACGGUACCGAAGAGGCUAGCAAUGGUGGAAGGGUGAGAGUGCGUAUAAUCUAUGGACUCAACAUUAGUCAUAAAGAACUCACAUACUUAUUGCAAAAAUCUACAAGUCAUCAAAAACCAAGUAUUACGCGCAUGCUCCUAGGGGGAUAGAUUGGUAGGAAAAGACCAUCGCUCGUCCCCGCCCGCCACUCAUAAGGAAGACAAUCAAAUAACACCUCAUGUUUCAAAUUUGUUACACAAUGUUUACCAUACGUGCAUGCUACGGGACUUGCAAACUUCAACACAAGUAUUCCUCAAAUUCACAACUACUCAACUAGCACAACUUUGAUAUCACUAUCUCCAUAUCUCAAAACAGUCAUCAAGCAUCAAACUUCUCUUAGUAUUCAAUGCACUUAUAUGAAAGUUUUUAUUAUGCCUAAAAUCAAAUUGCCAUGUUGUUCUAAAGGACUCUAAAAAUAAUAUAAGUGAAGCAUGAGAGAUCAAUUAUUUCUAUAAAAUAAAACCACCACUGUGCUCUAAAAUAUAUAAGUGAAGUACUAGAGCGAAAACUAUAUAGCUCAAAAGAUAUAAGUGAAGUACAUAGAGUAUUCUAAUAAAAUCCAAUUCAAGUGUGUCUCUCUCAAAAGGUGUGUACAGCAAGGAUGAUUGUGGUAAACUAAAAAGCAAAGACUCAAAUCAUACAAGACGCUCCAAGCAAAACACAUAUCAUGUGACGAAUAAAAAUAUAGCUCCAAGUAAAGUUACCGAUGAACGAAGACGAAAGAGGGGAUGCCUUCCGGGGCAUACCGAAGCUUAGGCUUUUUGGUGUCCUGGUAUUUUACCUUUGGGUGCCUUCAGCAUCCCUAAGCUUAGGCUCUUGCCACUCCUUGUUCCAUAAUCCAUCAAAUCUUUAUCCAAAACUUGAAAACUUCACAACACAAAACUUAACAGAAAAUCUUCGUGAGCUCCGUUAGUAAAAGAAAACAAACCACCACUUCAAGGUACUGUAAUGAACUCAUUAUUUAUUUAUAUUGGUGUUAAACCUACUGUAUUCCAACUUCUCUAUGGUUUAUAAACUCUAUUACUAGCCAUAGAUUCAUCAAAAUAAGCAAACAACACACGAAAAACAGAAUCCGUCAAAAACAGAACAGUCUGUAGUAAUCUGUAGGUUUCAAAUACUUCUGGAACCCCAAAAAUUCUAAAAUAAAUUUCUGUAUGUGAGGAAUUUAUCUAUUAAUCAUAUUCAAAAAGAAUUAACUAAAUAUCACUCUCCAGUAAAAAAUGGCAGCAAUUCUCGCGAGCGCUAAAAGUUUCUGUUUUUUACAGCAAGAUCAAAAAGACUUUCCCCAAGUCUUCCCAACGGUUCUACUUGGCACAAAAACUAAUUAAACACAAAAAACACAACCAAAACAGAGGAUAGAUAAAUUAUUUAUUACUGAACAGGAACAAGAAGCAAGGAAUAAAAACAAAAUUGGGUUACCUCCCAACAAGCGCUAUCGUUUAACGCCCCUAGCUAGGCAUAAAAGCGAAGAUAGAUCUAGAUAUUGCCAUCUUUGGUAGGCAAUUCUUCAAUAAGACACCUAUAACUCCUAGGAGUUUCUUUCUUUUUAUUAAUUAUCAAACUCCUAGGCAUGAAAUUGAGAAAAUCAUUUGUAGCAAAAGGUUCCUUAAUGAUAGUGAGAAAAUUGGGGUGAACACUUAUGGAUUUGAGGUCCGCAUUUUCCUUACUAGAAGUUUCACCCUUAUGUUUAGGAACAUACAUCAAUUUGGCAAUCUUAGCAUUAGGAGGAGUGUUUUUCACGGAAGAAAAGGCCGACCCAAGGUUUGUAAUAAUAUCCCCAAUUUUAUCAAUUCUAGUGGAAUCUUGAUCUAUCUUUUCAUUAACCAUAGGUCCCUUUUCUUUAAAAAAAUUAAGAGCAACUCCUACCUUAGAUCCGUAUUGGGUAAUUUGGUUAUGGAUCUUUCUAUCCAAAUUUUCAAUUAACUCUAUCGUGGAAACUUUAUUUUCAAUAAUUUCAAGUCGUUGCAUCACAUGUUCCAAAGUUAAAAUAGUUCCAUUAACCAAAAGAGGUGGUGGGCCAAACAAAUCUUUCAUAGCAUUAUAAGAAUCAAAAGUAUGGCUACCCAAGAAAUUUCCUCCGGUAAUGGUAUCAAGAAUACAUCUAUUCCAAGGAGUGAUGCCUACAUAAAAAUUGCGAUGAAGAACGGAAGUAGAUUGCAUCCUAGUAGAUCUAUUUUGCGCAUUGCAAAUUCUGUACCAGUCAUCUUUUAGAUUUUCUCCUCCCUUUGUUUAAAAUUGAGAACUUCAUUCUCGGGUGACAAACGAGCGGCUAGAGGACUAGCCAUAACGACGAAGCAAGCAGAAAAGAGGCGAGCGGAAAGAGAGGGCGAAAGGAAAAGAUGGCGAAUAAAACGGUAAGGGUGAAGUGGAGGAGAGGAAAACGAGAGGCAAAUGGCAAAUAAUGUAAUGCGAAGGAUAAGAGUUGUGAUGGGUACUUGGUAUCUAUUGACUUGGCGUAGAUCUCCCCGGCAACGGCGCCAGAAAUCCUUCUUGCUACCUCUUGAGCACUGCGUUGGUUUUCCCUUGAAGAGGAAAGGGUGGUGUAGUAAAGCAGCGUAAGUAUUUCCCUCAGUUUUUGAAAACCAAGGUAUCAAUCCAGUAGGAGACCUCGCGCGAGUCACCUCAUACCUACACAAACAAAUAAGAACCUCGCAACCAGCGCAAUUAAGGGGUUGUCAAUCCCUUCACGGCCACUUGCAAGAGUGAGAUCUGAUAGAGAUAAUAAUAAUACGAUAAAUAUUUUUGGUAUUUUUAUGAUAUAGAUUGAAAGUAAAGAUUGCAAAAUAAAAUAGAUUGGAAACUUGUAUGAUGGAAAAUAGACCCGGGGGCCAUAGGUUUCACUAGUGGUUUCUCUCAAGAUAGCAUAAGUAUUACGGUGGGUGAACAAAUUACUGUCGAGCAAUUGAUAGAAAAGCAAAUAAUUAUGAGAAUAUCUAGGCACGAUCAUGUAUAUAGGCAUCACAUCUGCGUCAAGUAGACUGACUCCUGCCUGCAUCUACUACUAUUACUCCACACAUCGACCGCUAUCCAGCAUGCAUCUCGAGUAUUAAGUUCAUAAGAACAGAGUAACGCCUUAAGCAAGAUGACAUGAUGUAGAGGGAUAAACUCAUGCAAUAUGAAAUAAACCCCAUCUUUUUAUCCUCGAUGGCAACAAUACAAUAUGUGUCGUUUCCCUUUCUGUCGCUGGGAUCGAGCACCGCAAGAUUGAACCCAAAGCUAAGCACUUCUUCCAUUGCAAGAAAGAUCAAUCUAGUAGGCCAAACCAAACUGAUAAUUCGAAGAGACUUGCAAAGAUAAACCAAUCAUACAUAAAAGAAUUCAGAGAAGAUUCAAAUAAUGUUCAUAGAUAAUCUGGAUCAUGAACCCACAAUUCAUCGGAUCUCGACAAACACACCGCAAAAAGAAGAGUUACAUCGGAUAGAUCUCCAAGAGAAUCGAGAAGAACUUUGUAUUGAGAUCCAAAGAGAGAGAAGAAGCCAUCUAGCUACUAGCUAUGGACCCGAAGGUCUGAGGUAAACUACUCACACAUCAUCGGAGGGGCCAUAGAGUUGAUGUAGAGGCGCUCUGUGAUCGAUGCCCCCUCUGGCGGAGCUCCGGAAAAGGCCCCAAGAUGGGAUCUCUUGGGUACAGAAGAUUGUGGCGGUGGAAAUAGGGUUUCGUGGUGCUCCUGGAUGUUUGCGGGGUAUAUGAAUAUAUAUAGGAGGAAGAAGUAGGUCUCUGGAGCAACGAGGGGCCCAUGAGGGUGGAGGGCAUGCCCAGGGGGUAGGCGCGCCCCCUGCCUCGUGGCCUCCUCGAUUGUUUCUUGACGUCCACUCCAAGUCCCCUGGAUCACGUUUGUUCCAAAAAUCACGCUCCCGAAGGUUUCAUUCCGUUUGGACUCCGCUUGAUAUUCCUUUUCUACGAAACACUGAAAUAGGCAAAAAAAAUAGCAUUUUGGGUCGGGCCUCCAGUUAAUAGGUUAGUCCCAAAAAUAAUAUAAAAGUGUAAAAUAAAGCUCAUUAACAUCCAAAAUAGAUAAUAUAAUAGCAUGGAACAAUCAAAAAUUAUAGAUACGUUGGAGACGUAUCAACCCCACCGUACAGAUCCGCUCCGUGUCGCCCCGUUCUGCCGUUCCCCGACGUCCCUGCACCUUCAAGCACCGCCGCCGCAUCAAGUCCAUCGCGCCGACCUCUGCUUCCACUUCAACAAGCAAUAGGAGUGCCGCUCAUCGCCGUUGACCGCAGCUGCGCGUGAACUCCCGCGCCUUGGGCCGCCUUCUGUUGCCAAGGCCCAGCCAGCGCCCUGCCGACCUGCCUCUUCCAUCGUUCGGGCCUUGGCCCAUUGAGCUGCCUCUCCUUGGCCCAUCACCGUGAUCCCCAAGGCCCAUUUCCCUGUAGGCCAAUGUGAGCAACUCCCCUCAGCCCAGUACAACUCAAAUUCGGCCCAACAAUGUUUUUUUCUUGUCACUAGCGAUUUUGUCAUUUUUUCAGAGAGUGCAGUUUUACAGAAAGUCCUCCUUGUUCAUGCAUUUAAUAACUCCACAACCGUGCUCUGUAUUAAAAUGUUUUAAAUAUGAAAAAUGCUUAGAAUCUUGUCUAGUUUCAUAAUAUCCAACUUUCAUGCAUAUUUAAAAUGUUGUUUGUGUUUAUUUUGCAUAAUGUCAUGUUAAAAUGAUUUAAUUCAUAACUAAAUAACCGUAGCUCCAUUUUAAAUAAACUUUAUAUGUAAAUGGUGUAGAAAAUGUCUAGUUUAACAUGGUGGCAUUACUUUGCAUGUUUAACAACUCUAAAAUGUGGUUUAGGGCAGAACAGUACCAAAUUCAUAAUAUGCAUAUGAGGAUUUUCCGGAAUUGUUGUUUGUUGUUCCGGCCUCAUUUAAACUUGCCUAAAUAGUUAGAUUACUUAUGCUUCACCUCUUGCCAUGUUAAUCAACAUUUAAUAUUGUUUGGUACAUAAACGAGAGUGAACUAAAUGUUUGAAUGUGGUGUUUCGUCAAUAUGCAACUCGUUGCAUAUUGAGCUCCACUUAAUUUGUAGUGUUGUUUGUGCAUAUUGCCAUGCCUAAUUAAACCAGACAUGCAUCAUACUUGGUUGUGCAUAUUGCCAUGUUUAUGUGAUGGUUGUUUACAAUUGUCGGUGUCAAAACCGGUGGAUCUCAGGUAGGGGGGUCCCGAACUGUGCGUCUAAGGCGGAUGGUAACAGGAGGCGGGGGACACGAUGUUUACCCAGGUUCGGGCCCUCUUGAUGGAGGUAAUACCCUACGUCCUGCUUGAUUGAUGUUGAUGAUAUGAGUAUUACAAGAGUUGAUCUACCACGAGAUCGUAGAGGCUAAACCCUAGAAGCUAGCCUAUGGUAUGAUUAUUGUUGUCCUAUGGACUAAACCCUCCAGUUUAUAUAGACACCGGAGGGGGCUAGGGUUACACAGAGUCGGUUACAAGGGAGGAGAUCUACAUAUCCGUAUUGCCAAGCUUGCCUUCCACGCCAAGGAGAGUCCCAUCCGGACACGGGAUGAAGUCUUCAAUCUUGUAUCUUCAUAGUCCAACAGUCCGACCAAAGGAUAUAGUCCGGCUGUCCGGAGACCCCCUAAUCCAGGACCCCUCAGUAGCCCCCAAACCAGGCUUCAAUGACGAUGAGUCCGGCGCGUAGAUUGUCUUCGGCAUUGCAAGGCGGGUUCCUCUCCAAAUUCUGAAUAUCUGCUAAGUAGGGUCCGGCUCCCUAUAAAUGUUGCACUCCUUGGCUUCCGCGCCCAAUAAGGGCUUUCUUCCACGUGUCGAGCGAAUGCGAGGAGCCAGGGCAUUUUUACAUUUGCCACCCUAGCCAUGUAAGUAAGCUGUCUAUUAAAGAGACGAGGAUUCUUAGAUCCAGACCACACCAUCCUCCCUCGGCGAGCAUCCAUCAGAGCGCGCUCGGAAAAAUCCAUUCCAACAUGGCCGGCCAUAGCAGCUCCUCCUCUCGCUCCCGUAGCCCUAAGCCCGGUGAUUGGGAGAAGUGUUCCGUCCCGCAUAGCCAAUUAGUACGGUUACGGACCCAUGGAUUUCUCCCUCCAGCGUAUAUGGUCCCUGUUCGAGCCGGGCUUGCCACCUAUAAUGGCGGGGAGCAAGCGGAGAGCUUCCCCAAUCCCUCUAUGGGGGAGCAGGUAUGCCUCGUCCCUUAUUUACUAAGGGGACUUGGAUUUCCAAUCCAUCCAUUCCUCCGCAGGCUCAUGGAGUUUUAUGGCCUCCAGUUGCAUAAUUUCACCCUUGCUUCCAUAUUACAUAUUGCUGGUUAUGUUGCCUUUUGUGAGCUGUUUCUGGGCUGCGAAGCUCAUUUCGAGCUAUGGAAAAGGCUAUUCUGCCUUGUGCCCCGCACACAGGAGGGGUCAAUAUAUCAAGUGGGCGGAGCCGAAAUAUGGCGCAUCGCCGGGACCGAAUACCUAUUCGGUACCCCGAAGAAGACGUCUGAAGACUGGCCUUCGGAGUGGUUUUAUAUGGAGGACGUCCCCCUUCCAGAUCCUAUUCGGAUGGGUCUUCCCGAGUUCGAUAAUGCCCCUUUGAAGAAAUGCAGAAGCUGGCGCCCACGGAGCCCUCAGGAGGAAGAUAACGGAGAAGUCCUUUACCUGAUGGGCCGGAUAAAAGUGUUGGCUCAAUCAGGACUGGCAAUAAUCAAAGUUAUGUCCAUAUGUAUAAUGCGGGGGGUGCAACCACUUCAAUAUCGAGGGCACCCCAUGCUGCGGGCGUAAGGGACCAGACUCGGUUGCUGCUCUAGCAAAAAUUCUGUCCGAUCUGUUCAAGGGAGAGGAAGAGGAGUUCAUCCGUAUUAAGCCACGGGAUGGAUUCUCCAUGUACAACCCUCCAAGCUGGGUGAGCUGUCACUUUUUACUCCCAACCUUCCCGCAUUCUUCGUCAUAAAUACUCACCUUGCCGUUUCAUGGUAGGAACUGCGAAAGGCUGUAGGGGAGGUCAACAGCCCACCUCCACAGCCGGAGGACCCUGACCGGGCCCUCGAUCCCGGACUCAAAGAGGAUCCGGACAUAUUUGUGGAGCUGAUCGACAGGACAUUCUAUCAAUUGAGCUGCGAUGAUGCCAUGGUGGCCAUCAUAGCCGACUAUCCUGGGCUACUCCCUGCAUCGCAUGUAAGAAAAACGGAGCCCCAACUUCUGAGAAGGAUCCCCUUUAAUGCACUUCACCUACCAUACACAUAUGGUGUUUUACAGGGAAGGCCCCCGGGACGCCAUGCCGAACCCGCAGUGACUCGCCAACAAGGGACACCGAAGCCGGGUAGGCCAAAAAGGAAGGCGGUCAAGACUGAGACGCCGGCGCAGAGGUAUGAUAAAGAACCUCGCUCCAUUGUCUUUAAAAUAUAAUGACGUCCAUGUUUCCCAGUAGGAAAAAUGCUCGCCGGACUAUAUCCGGAGAGGUUACCGAUCACGCCUCCACCAGUCGGGCUCCUGGGCCAGACAUAGAGGCGGAAGCUAACACGGGGCGAACGCCAGAUGCUCCUCCCACAGAGGAUGCGGAUAGACUAUCCGCUACAAAUUCCAAAGUGGAGAGCACCAUGAAUCACAGGCGUCGCCGGGCCGUACUUCGUGACACUUGUUUCUCCCAAGAGGCGUUCGAUGCCUUCAACUCAGGAGACGCGUACAUCCAUGCUGCUCAAAACGGUCUUGCCAGAGCCACAGACCAGUAUGUAAAGGAUAUACGGGUAAGAAAAUCUGACGAUUAUAUAUAUCAGUAGCCCCUGAGACUUAAACAGUUGACACAACUGAUUUAAGGAUCAUUAUUUGUGCAGGUUCUUACAGAGAAGAAUACCCAAUUGUCUCAAGAGCUAGAAGAGUGCAAAGCCCAGCUACGGGCCGCGGUUGCCGUGUUGAAGGAGUCCGAGAAGGCCCCCUCUGGUAACAUUUGUUUCCAUUGCAAAGAAUAACAGGUACCAGAUAGUAUGCGACAUGCAUGCAAAUCUAACAAUAGAUGUUGCAGAUGACUCCGGAGUGAAUCUGGAGGCCAUGCCAGAGAAUGCGCAACGUGCCAAUCGACAGCCUAAUGCUGGCGAGCGCGUGCUUACGCGGGUCAGGCAGGAGAAAAAUAAUCUCCAGGGCGCCAAUAUCCGGCUGGGCGUGGAACUGAAAGAUGUCCGAGCCCAUCUUGCGGACUCCGUGAAGGAGAAUAAGCGGCUUCGACGCGGCAUUUUCAGUAAGUGCUCGAACAAACUUUUGAAAGAGUUCGGCGAAGAAGCUGGCUAACAGAGUUAUGUCUGCAGGUAUGCUGACGGGUCGUCCCGCGAAGGAGAAGCUCGGGUCUGCGGGUGAUCUUCUACCAGAGCUCUCACAACUACACGAACAAGUUCGGCAGGUGAUGCCACUACAAAAAAAGACACAUCCGUGACAUUUUGGGCCGAACGAAUUUUUUUCCUGUCAUACAUAUGACACUUCUAUGACGAUAAUUGUGACAAAACCCGGUAUCAUCAUAGAUGUGGUGGGCUCCUACUUCUAUGACAAAAAAUCAUGAAAGAAAAUGGGCUUUUCGUCCUGGGCGGGCCGGAGACACAGCUGCAUGACAUUCUUUGGGCCGUCCAUGACGGAAAAAACCGUGGUAGAAGCGAGGGGGAGGAAAAUUUCGGGGAGUUCCCGAUUACGGUGGGAGGUCGAGGCCGAGCGAGGCGCGUUUCUCUCGUACACGUACGCGCGUGUGUGCGAGGCAUUGGCUCUAACUGAACCCGAGCGAGGCAUUGGGCUCUAACUGAAGCCGAGCGAUUGCACUGCAGGCUACGCGUUACUGAACCCGAGCGAUCGAUCGAUGGCUGUUAACUGAACCCGAUCAAGCGAUUCCUUCGCUACUGCUGCUAACUGAAGCCGAUCGAUGCUGCCUUUGGANNNNNNNNNNNNNNNNNNNNNNNNNNNNNNNNNNNNNNNNNNNNNNNNNNNNNNNNNNNNNNNNNNNNNNNNNNNNNNNNNNNNNNNNNNNNNNNNNNNNNNNNNNNNNNNNNNNNNNNNNNNNNNNNNNNNNNNNNNNNNNNNNNNNNNNNNNNNNNNNNNNNNNNNNNNNNNNNNNNNNNNNNNNNNNNNNNNNNNNNNNNNNNNNNNNNNNNNNNNNNNNNNNNNNNNNNNNNNNNNNNNNNNNNNNNNNNNNNNNNNNNNNNNNNNNNNNNNNNNNNNNNNNNNNNNNNNNNNNNNNNNNNNNNNNNNNNNNNNNNNNNNNNNNNNNNNNNNNNNNNNNNNNNNNNNNNNNNNNNNNNNNNNNNNNNNNNNNNNNNNNNNNNNNNNNNNNNNNNNNNNNNNNNNNNNNNNNNNNNNNNNNNNNNNNNNNNNNNNNNNNNNNNNNNNNAACAGUUCCCGAUGGGGGUGGAUGAACAGGACCCCGAUCGAUCGAGCCGGUUGGGGCUGGAUGAACAGGACCCCGUGGAGGGCUGGAUGAACAGGACCACCCCGUGGAGGGCUGGAUGAACAGUAGAUGGUGGAGGGCAGGAUGAACAGUAGCCUGUGGAGGGGUGGUUGAACAGGAGCCCGUGGACAUGGCUAGUUGAACAGUAGCCGGUGGAGUAGCGUGCGGUGGAGGCUAGAUGAACAGGAGCCCGUGGAUGAACAGUCGCAGGUGGAGGCUGGAGGAGGUCGACGGUGGAUGAACAGUAGCUCGUGGAGGCUGGAGGGGGUCGACGGUGGAGAUGAACAGUAUCCUGUGGAGUCCUGUUUUGUGGUACGUCACACCCCUCCUGAUGAACAGGACCCCCGUUUCGACCGUAGCGCUCCAACACAAGUCCGUUUCGUCCGUUUUGUGGUACGCCACACCCCUCCCGAUCAACAAGACCCCCGUUUUAACCGUAGGAGGUCUAUUUCCUCCGUUUUGCGGUACGCCAGACCCCUCCCGAUGAACAGGAUCCCGUUUCGAACAUGGCUGGUCGAACACAAGGCCGUUUCCUCCGUUUUGCGGUGCGCCAGGCCUCGUUUCCAUCGCCUGUUCCGUCCAAGCCCUCCUGAUGAACACGACGCAUUCCGUUGCCUCCCCAUGAACACGACGAUGACGCUGUUUCUCCGUUCCGACCCAGCAAUGUACACGAGCCCUGGCCGUACGUAUGCGCGAGUAGGCGUUUGAGACCCCGCCCGUAUGUACACAUACGUGGCCGUAUUUUCUUUCUUGCACCCUAGCCGCUGUACGUACGUGUACAUGCUACGUGCGCGCCUCUACUACGACACGUGCGCGCCUCUACAUCAACCAGUAUGUACGUACACGUUCGCGACCAGAAUGACAACACUACGUAUGCUUCAACCAGGUGGGUCCCGACUGUCAGGCACUUCCUUGCCUGCGAAGAUGUAGCUGGUGGGUCCCAGCAGUCAGGGGGCGAAUCGUUUUUGUUUUGCCCGGACGCACUUCCUUGCGUGCGAAGAUGUAGCUGGUGGGUCCCAGCAGUCAGGGGGAAACAUUUUUUUCAUGAAAUACAGUGGCCCGUCCGGUGUGUCCCAGCUGUCAGGUGGAGGAAUCAUUAUUUUCCACGUAAUAAGGAGGCACUUCCUUGCUGCGGCCGUGGACCCAGCUGUCAGCCUCUCCAUGUACAGUCCACGUCCGAUGGAAGUCAUUCCUUGACCACGUUGACCACGCCGCGCCGAGAGCACCAGGGCGGUGGACGACGGCGAGGCCUAGGAAGGGGACGACACGGAGGCAGGGAAGACUCGACAGUUGUUUGCCACGCGGAGGGGAGUAUGACUGUACGAGGGUUUACUGGUUCGUCUGCCGUCGCCGGAGAAUAACAGCAGGUGUGGGUGAGUAGAGGGAUGGCUAGGCCAACGAUGGGAGUACGGUCGGGCGGUGAGGCCUGCGCGGCAGCACAGCCGGCCGCGAGGAGGAGGGAGCAGGCAGUCCCGUCGGCGCUUGUUUGAACGGCUGGAGCAGGAAGAGCAGAGAUUGAAGAAGCACGACGGCCGUUGGAUGGACAUCCAACAGUCAGUGCUUGUGCGUCAACCUUUUUUUAGGAAAGACUCAAAUCUGUGGUAAACAGCAUAUAGCCCAUCUGCCAUUAUUUCUAAUAAUUUACAGCCCAUUUGCUAAUUCUUAAGGUUUUUUGGAGCCCAUAUUCUUUUUGUUAGCAUUACAGCCCAUAUUGUGGCAACGGUUAAAAAAUCAUACGAAAUUUUGCAUAUUUCGGUGUGGUCUGAACUGUUUUUAAUCUCGAAAUUUCGACUCACAUUCAAACUGAUUUUAAAAAUAAAUGUAUAUCAAUAUAAAAUCCAACAAAUUCUCCAAAAAUUAAUGUAAUUUAAAAUCUUGAAAUGAAAAAAAAAGAUAUUUGAAACUAAUUGCCGGUUUGAUGUGUUUUAAAAAUGUACAUCCCAUUUCUCAUUACUGAUGGGCCAUUUUCUCGACCAGCCGAAUGAAAGCUCUCCUCGUCUUGAAAGAUUUGCAGCCCAACAUGCCUGACAAAGCGACUUACUUGGCAAAUCACAAAAAAAACUGUGUUGUGGCCGUGGACCCAGCUGUCAGCCUCUCCACGUACAGUACUCUUCCGAUGGAAGUCGUUCCUUCACCAUGUUGACCACUCCACGCGGAGAGCACCACGGCGGUGGACGAUGGCGAGGCCUAGGAAGGGGACGACGCGGCAGUGGAAGCCUGCGCGGAGAGGACUACGAGGGUUCACAGGUUCGGCUGCGGUGUGAGGCUGCCGUCGCCGCAGGGCCUGGCCAGUGGUGGGAAUAGUAGGGGCGGUGAGGCCUCUGCGGCAGCACAGCCGGCCACGAGAGGCAGGAGCAUGCGGCAUGACCGGCGCUGCUUUGGGUGGCUGGAGCAAGAAGACCAGAGGUUGAAGAAGCACUACGGUAGUUGGAUGGACAUCGUACGGUCACUAGAGCUAGAAUCGUUCAUAUUGACUAAGUUGACAAAGCCCUUCAUCCCCGUCAACUUAGUAGGCCCACAAGUCAGCCUCCCAGCAAGGUGGGUCCCAGCUAGCCGGGGGAGUAUUCAAUUUUUUUUGUGUAAUAAGGAGGCAGUUCCGGUGGGUCCGAGCUGACAGCGGGGGAAACGUGUUUUUCGCAAAAUACGGUGGCCUGUCCGGUGGGUCCCAGCAGUCCGGGGGAAACGAUUUUUUUCGCAAAAUACUGGUGGCCCGUCUGGUGGGUCCCUGCUGUCAGGUGGAGGAAUCAUUAUUUUCCGCGUAAUAAGGAGGCACUUCCUUGCUGCCGCCGUGGACCCAGCUGUCAGCCUCUCCAUGUACAGUCCACGUCUGAUGGAAGUCAUUCCUUCCAUGUUGACCACGCCGUGCCGAGAGCACCAGGGUGGUGGACGACGGCGAGGCCUAGGACGGGGGCGACGUGGAGCCGGUGAAGACGCGGCAGUGGAUGCCCACGCGGAGAGGAGUAUGAGAGUUCACUCGUUCGGCUGCGGUGUGAGGCUGUCGUUGACGCAGGGCCUGGCCAGCGGUGGGAAUAGUAGGGGGCGGUGAGGCCUCCACGGCAGCACAGCCGGCCACGGGAAGCAGGAGCAGGCGGCACGACCGGCGCUGCUUUGGGCGGCUGGAGCAAGAAGACCAGAGGUUGAAGAAGCACUACGGCCGUUGGAUGGACAUCGUACGGUCACUGCAGCUAGAAUCGUUUAUAUUGACUAAGUUGACAAAGCCCUUGGUACGUCAACUUAGUAGGCCCACAGGUCAGCUUCCGAAACGGUGUGCCCCAGAUGUCAGGGGGAGGAAUCAUUUUUUGGGCGCGUGAAGCUAGAAUAUCCAAGAUUGAAGAAGAAGCACGGCAUCCGUUGGAUAGACAUCCAACGGCCACUGCUGCUAGAACCGUGUGUUGACUAUAAGUUGACAAAGUCUUGCAUACGCGUCAACUCUUUUUUUAGGGACGCGUCAACUUAGUAAGGCCAGAAGUAUGUGGGAGAGAACUUAUAGCCCAUUUGAGAUUUGUAAGAAAUUGUAGCCCAUUUUUGAAUUCUAAUGGAAUUUACUACAACCCAUUUACAGUUUGUUAAAAGUACAGCCCAUUUCAACCAACCGUUCAAAACAGAAUUCAAUAAAAUUUUCCACAUUUUGAUGGAUCUGAAAUAUUUUUAUCCCGAAAUUUAUAGUCAAAUUAAAUACAAUUUCAAUAUAAAUUUAUAUUACAUAAAAAUCCAACGAAACAUUGCGCUUGCAAGAAUUAAUGAAAUUAAAAUUUUCAAUAUCCAAAAAUAAUAUUUUAUAAAGUAAUCACGUGUUUGGUGCAUUUUUUAUAGUUACUGCCUAGUUUUUAUAAUUACAUCCCAUUUAUUAUUUCUUAAAGCCCACUUUCUUGUUAAGCCUAAUGCAUCCCUCCUAGGAAAGAUUUGCAGCCCAGCGGGGCGGAGAAUAACAACUUGACCUUGCCUGGGUAUUCCUAAAAAAAAGUAUAGCUGGGCUAGCCAUUUUCAGCUUGAAAAAAAUUAAUAUCUGGGCUGGAUAUCUGCUCUGGGCUAGACGGGCCAUAGCCCACCCAGUUAAUACCUGCAUCGAUGUUUUCGUUGUUGUUCAGAGGAGAAAAAUUAAUAUCUGGGCUAAACAUCGAAAAACUCUGCAGUGCUCACACCUCAAAAACACAAAUACUGCUCGAGCUGCUUGGUCCCAGCUGUCGGCCGUUUCUUGUGCAAUUCUCUCGUUUAUUGACUAGUACUAUAUAGGUUGACAAUGGUGUGGGAUCGUGAUGUCAGGAAACCAGGGGGAAGCAAAAUAUAUAACUCCAGCGAGCGCUUCCACCUCUGCCUCGUUGUCUCCCGUGGAAACCCCUUUCCUCCCUUUUUUUGCUCGAGCAAGGACCAAUGCAUGCAGCACGUCCAUGCGGUUAUUAGGCAAGAAAUAAAAGUGCUUUGCAUGCUAUGAAUUACGAUGGCCUGCAUGGGUAGCUAAUAAGGCAUCCUCUUAACUGCUAUGAUUAAAUGUUGUGUUUAGAAGAGAGAAAUAUUCUUCUUUUCCACCAAUCUGCUUGCACCUAGGUCGUGAUGCACCUUCUAAUACGACUUAUUCACCUAGAUGGAGGGAGUAUAGUUUUAUACAUAUAUAUAUAUAUAAUACUAAGGAGGCACUUGCAUACGUUGGUGGGUCCCCAUUGUCAUCCUCUCCAAGUAAAGUCAUCUCCUCGCCCUCGCGCGCUUUCCGCCCGAAACAGUCAGCGCCACCCGCCCUGCUUCCUGGUGCAGGCGAUUGCUCUGCCUUCAAACGACACAAGUGUCGUCCGUCCGUCCAUCUGCUGCCCACAUUAAUGAUACGCGGUUGCCUAGGCGGCUACUCCGGCGCCACACGUCCGUCCCUCCGCCCGCCCACCAUUGCUAUAUAAACUGUUGCGUCGGCCAUAGCUGCAGCCAUCCGCAUUCGUUCCCUUUCUCCUGUCCACACCACUACUGCCUACCAUGGCUUCCUCGUGCUCCAGCGCUCUUCGGGACGGGCGAACGACAGACCACAAGGAGAUGGCAGCCAUUGCUGCCGACCGGCUGGCCGGCAGGCAGCCGGAGGACGACAACGUCCCAAUGGAGAACAUGGUAGUCGACGAUCCGGCGCCAACCCCCUCCUCCGCGCCAUCCUCGCUGGUGCAUUGCACCAUGACCAUCGGCGAGGCCCGUGCCCAAUAUAUGGACAGUGUGAGGCAGAUGCGUUAGGAGCAGUUCCAGGAGGCGCAGGCCGACGCCGCCUACAACCACCAUCUCCUCCAGGAGCAUCUGCAGGUGGAGGAGCAGAUCGCCGCGAAGCGGACGGAGCAGGAGGCGCUGCUCGAAGUCGUACCGCUCCGCCUGCAAGGGCCGCCUCGAGCACUGGCGGGAGCGCAUGCGGGUGGCGGAGGCUGCAGCUGCCUACAAAGAGGCUAGCAAAGAGGGCGAUGAAGCGGGCGAGGCGCUGUUUGGCGAGAUCGAGGACGAGGCAGAGGACAAUGCCGGCUCUGACGAGUCCCCGCUCCGCUGGCGUCGACGAGGCCCUGCUCCGCCGAGGCCCCGUGGCGCCAACAACGAGGCAGAGGACACCGCCGGCUCCGCCGAGGCCCCGCCCCGCUAACAACGAGGUAGAGGGCAUCGCCGGCUCAGCCGAGGCCCCACCCUGCCGGCAACACGGGGGAGGAUUUCCACUGCUCCGCUGAGGCGCCGCCCGCCGACAACAAGACAGAGGACAUUGCCGGCUCCGCCGAGGCCCCGCCCCGCUGCCAACGAAGCCGCGCCACACAAAAAAUGAGGAAGAGUAGAACAUGGUAGGUCGCCGCCGCUCGGGUCCAAGUAAGGCCACCGCUACUACCCUCCUGUUGAAGCCAAGCUAGGUGGGUUGACCAUUGACGGCCAGUUAGAUUCUUGGCAGCGACGUGGAGUCGGGAAGUUCUGCUGGAGAAUAACGCUGCUUCUACUUAACUGCUGGUGCAGUCAGCUGACUGACACGUGGGCCCAAUAGGCCACAUGCCAGUUAUGCAACUGCACCUACAGUUAAGUCACUGAAGCUUCUGUUCGGCUCAGCGAGACACAGGUGGGUAGCUUCGGUUAAUUAAUUAUACCUCCAGCGCACCCCUUUUUAGUUGAAGAAUGUAUGAAAUGUAAUGAAAUCUGGCAUGUUUAUAUGAAAUCCGACCAUGUAUGAAUGAAUUUAUUUCGAUUAGUUUGAAUUCCUGUAUCACUGGCAUUGGAGGAACAUGCAAAACAAGAUGUACUAGCAUUAUUCCCAGGGUGAUCACCUUGUUUGCAGCAGUUUCACAUGUACUCCCUCCGGUCCUUUCUAGUCUGCAUACAAGUUUUGUCUGCAGUCAAAGUAUCUCUACUUUGACCAAUCUUAUACAAAAAAGUAUGCACUUUCACAAUGUGCGAAGUAAAGAGGAACGGAAGGAGUACAAAGAGUUUGAGCAGGUUUUUAGCGUUUCUGUACAUUGCAAUCAAACACACAGGCCUGGCAAUUCAUAGAGGACAUUCAAAACAAUCGAUGAUUAUGCAUCUCUGUGACUCACAUGUCAGAGGCAAUAUUUACUUCACAACUAAAGAAUAAAGAAAAAAUUGAUUGACACUGCUGACAGCAAGGGCGUCCCAUUCGAAAAUAUCAAACGCAUGUCUUGCUAAAAUCAAUGAGCAAAAUUUGACAAGGUUGUCCCAUUCCAAAAUAUCAAAUGCCUACGAUUGUGGAAUGGGCAGGGUUUGCCAUCAGUUCGGACAUUGACAUGGCACCUCGUGCUAAAUAAACCAGCUGUUCUUUUUGUGCAGUUCCACCAAAAUCAACCAAAUUCGCGCGUAUCUUGUAUGAUUUUGCCCUUAUAUGUUGCAACGCCUUGAACUUAUCGGCACCUCCUUUCUUGUGGUGGAAAUGAAUGAUUCGAUGUAUUCAUGAACAUUUUGUGCAGUUCCCAUUGAAAUCAAGCUGAGCACCCCUGUUUGCACAAAUACAAAAAAGUGAUUAGUAUAGAGCAAACUGUACUAUGAAUUGACAGUUUCAACAGGCACAUACAUGGUCCAUGUAGAGCACACUUUUAGAAAAAUGGAACUCACCAGAAAGAAUCCUAGAACAACAUUGUACUCACGCAUCCCAACAAAAAAAUGGAGAUUUUUUCAGUCCUUCUGAGCUGAAGUUAGUUUGGUCUUGUAGGGAGUAAUGUAACCAUCCUUCAACUGCUCCUUCUGAUGAUAAGAUAGACAGGGCUUCUUCAUCCUGGCAUAAUCGGAACUAGUCACUUCACGUACUCCAUAUUCUUCUUCAGAGGAAGAUGAUCCUGUUGUGCAAAGACAAGAGGACUACUAAAUGCUAGCAUCACUGUUUGCUCGAAAAAAAGGAAAGGAAAUAUUUAAAACAACACAGAUGAAGCACUUCUCAAGGACAAUACCACUUUUUCAUGACAACACCGGGAGUUGAUUUUUGUUUUUCUUCCCCUUCAUCACUUGGUUCAAUUGCAAACAAGCUUCGCCUUCAAUGUAAGAUUUGGCAUGUCAAUUAGGGAGCACAAGUAUAGUACUAAACUUAAUUUUCUGAUGAAAGUGGCAAAAUACAGGCCGGCAGUUGUGAAAUAUCCUUAUCUUACCUUAAUGGGAUAUUACGGUGCACAUACAGAUUGGAAGUCUUGUCUCCAUUUGUGCAGUUCACUAAAAUCAAGCAACAUUAUCGUACAAGUAGCAUAACAUAUGAAUGCACACUGCAGAAUCAUGUGAAAGAAGGCUAGUACUGACCUCUCAUGAUGCGGAAUUCAAACAACUCACAAGAAGAAGAUCUGAACCAAAUUCGCCUUAACGGAUAGGAAGUAAGAUCUCCUCUUGUGCAGUUCCACUAAGAUCAAGCAAUCAAGCAACGUUGUCGGUGUGACAUUUUGGUUGAACUGCACAAAACACUCUUAAAACAAAAGUGUUUUGUGCAGUGCAACAAAAGGUCACAAUGGCAAUGAGGUGAAGCAGAUAACCCUGUUUACACAGAGGUGCAAAGGAAACAAUUAGUGGUCAAUAACGGUGGAUGACACAUAAGCCAACAAAAAGAAGCAUCUACCUUAUCUAAAUGGGAAAGAAAGCAAGACAGUAGCAUUUCUCAAACGGUGGCAUUGAUUAAUGUUAACAUAGAGAUUAUAUUAACAAUAAAAUUCGUUAAACAUGUAAUUUGCUUUUAACUGUGGCAUUGCAUCAAUUUUCCAGCGGCAUUAUUAGAGGAUGUUUGUUUACAGGGACAUUUUGGUGUAGGGACUAAAAAAACUCCAUGUCAGUCCCAUCUAAACCAAAGAGGAGGGACUUUUAGGGACUAAAAGUGGGCAUUUGGGACUAAAGAAAGAAGACCCCGAGGGAGUCUUUUUGGGACUUUUUCCAAUAGUUGCCCCUGCCACGCAUCGCACCUUAUCUCUAUUAGUUCAUUACUAGGGGUAACAUGGUCUUUUAGCAUGUCAUUUAAUAACCUCUAGUCCAUGUUUAGUCCCUGGAACCCAGCAGGUAGGGACUAGGGAGUUUUUAACCAAACAGGGCCUUAGUUUAACAACAGCUAAUGAGUUGCACGGGACAGUGGACGCACCAGCACCAUGUGCAUCUACCGAUGUACUGUGGUCAUGCACAGUCUGUUGCAACAAAGAACAAGCAACCAAGGAGCAUAUUUGUGUUGGUCCCAGUUUUGUUAUCUUUAGACGCCUUUCCCUAUGUGAGCGCAGCAAAUCUAGUCCUGCUCAAACUCUACAGCCUUGUCCCUUCCUUUCCUUUUUGAACUAGUACUUUCGCCCCUUCCUUUCCUUUUUGAACUAGUACUUUCGCCCCUUCCUUUCCUCUUUGAACCACGUCCUAGAUUUAUGCGAUACAACUUUCGCCACUACUUUCCCCCAUUCCUUUCCUCUUUGAACCACGUCCUAGAUUAAUGCUAUACAACUUUCCCCCUUCAUUUCUCUUUGAACCACGUCCCAGAUUCAUGCUAUAUACAACUUUUCCCACUACUUUCCCCCACUCCUUUCCUCUUUGAACCAUGUCCUAGAUUCAUGGUAUACAUGCAGCUAGAGCAAUGCAUGUGGAGUAAGUAAAUUAUACCUUAAGGUUCUUGGGGCGUGGUUCGGUGGGCGAUGGGACGCCGGCGAAGAAGAAGGGGUCGGAGGCCCUCCCGCGCCGCCGCUGGGUGGAAAGUGAACAGCUGCACCGGUAGUCCCUCGCUGAUGGCGACAACGUUAAGCCUCCUUCCCUUCCCGGCAAACGGAUCCUGCCGGCUCCUUGAGCAGCAGUGAGGGGAGAGAGAGACCAACAAAGUCUUGUUUAGAUUUGGAGAGGGCGAGAGAGUGUGAAGAGAGCAACUACAAGCGCCGAGGCUCUAGCGGGAGAGGGCGAGAGAGUGAGCGAACAGGCUAACCAGCUACACAACCCUCCCAUUAUGUUCAACGAGAGGGAAAUAACCUUUUAUACAUUCCUGCAUUCAUGUGACAAGCAUGCCGUGUUUUUUUUGUGUGUGGGAGUCAUUGGGAAUUCAAUCAUAAUCGUGUCAUGUGGCUUUGGUGGUAAGACUAUCCACAAUGGUGCAGAAAUAAUGCGGCCUUAGUCACCUUACCUCUCUCCAUGUAGUACGUUGGGUCCCACCAGUCAGAGGGUGAAACAAACAAAUUAAUAAGAAAAAUUAAAAGCGCCAGCGGUGUAUCUUACCUCACACAUCUCGCUACUGCUCGGGAACACUGUCCAAUUGAUCCCUUUGUUCGCUCACGUACUAUUUUAAGUGAAUCCUUAUUAUAACAUGCACACAAAUUUUGGCCACUUGUAUUCGACUUAAGUCAGUGUGCCACCGUAUCUCGUAUACUUACUACUCCCUCCGUCUAGGUGUAAUAAGUCACGUUAGAAGGUGCAACGGGACCAAGGUGCGUGCGUGUGCGUGUGUGUGUGUGUGUGUGUGUGUGUGUUUAACACCAUGUGUGUGUUAGAGAGAGCGACAGAUCGACCUACUCCUACAGAGAGAUGUUGUGUAGUGUACGAUUUUAGCCACGAGAGUUGGUGCAUCCUCUCUAUCGGUGUCAAAACCGGCGGAUCUCGGGUAGGGGGUCCCAAACUGUGCGUCAAGGCCAGAUGGUAAUAGGAGACAAGGGACAUGAUGUUUUUACCCAGGUUCGGGCCCUCUCGAUGGAGGUAAUACCCUACUCCUGCUUGAUUAAUAUUGAUGAUAUGGGUAGUACAAGAGUAGAUCUACCACGAGAUCAAGGAGGCUAAACCCUAGAAGCUAGCCUAUGGUAUGAUUGUUGUAUAUGGAGUUGAUGUCCUACGGACUACAACCCUCCGGUUUAUAUAGACACCGGAUAGGGUUAGGGUUACACAGAGUCGGUUACAAUGGUAGGAGAUCUUGAAUAUCCGCAUCGCCAAGCUUGCCUUCCACGCCAAGGAAAGUCCCAUCUGGACACGGGACGAAGUCUUCAAUCUUGUAUCUUCAUAGUCCUGGAGUCCGGUUGAAGGUAAAGUCCGGGUACCCGAACACCCCCUAAUCCAGGACUCCCUCAGUAGCCCCUGAACCAGGCUUCAAUGACGACGAGUCCGGCGCGCAGAUUGUCUUUGGCAUUGCAAGGCGGGUUCCUCCUCCAAGUCCUUCAUAGAAGGUUGUAAACACCAAGAGUAGUGUCCGGCCCUGCGAAAUAAGUUUCCACAUAUUGCCAUAGAGAGAAUAAUGUUAACACAAAUCAAAUCUGCUGACGUGUUCCGCAGUGUGCCAUCACACUACGGCCAAGUCCUUUACUCGAAUUGUUUUUACUUUUCCACCUCAGCACGUUUUGCGAGGUGGUUUCCUUGGCACGUCUUGUCUAAGCAGAGAUCGUGUACCCCCUUUUAUGGGAUUCUCAUCAAUACGGACGUGGGUAACCCAACUGCGGCAUUUAUCACGGUGCUUGGGAGGCAAGCGAGUUUUACCAGGCUGGUGGGGAUGCACAACCGCAUCCGCCCAUAUAAGGGGAUAAGGAUCCACCUUUUUACCUAUGCCUUCUUCCUCCUUUGCCUACCCAUCUCCUGCGCACUCGAGCUCCAGCGCCCAAGCCCGCACUUCCCACCUCCACCUUCUCCAGCAAUGUCCGGAGCAGGAGGCAAGUGGAUGGUCUCCUCCGCCACGAAGGGCCAAGUCAAGAAGCUAAGGAAGGCCGGAUACCUGUCUAAGGACAUCGCGCACCGGCUUCCCGAAAAGGGGCAGCUUCUCCCCACCCCAAGGCCCCAUGAGAGGGUAGUAUUUCUUCCCCACUUCCUCCGCGGACUGGGUUUUCCACUCCACCCAUUUGUCCGGGGGCUCAUGUUCUACUACGGCCUAGAUUUCCACGAUCUGGCCCCGAACUUCAUCCUCAACAUCUCGGCGUUUAUCGUCGUGUGCGAGGCUUUCCUCUGUGUCCGCCCUCAUUUCGGCCUCUGGCUCAAGACCUUCAACGUCAAGCCCAAGGUGGUGCGUGGCAGCCAGGCGGAGUGCGGAGGCGCCAUGGCGGGCAAGAUGGCCAACGUCCUAUGGUUCGAGGGCUCUUUUGUGGAGACCCUAAAGGGGUGGCAAUCCGGAUGGUUUUACAUCACCGAGCCACGUGAUCCGAAAUGGACCGCAGCCCCCGAGUUCCGAUCCGGACCCCCCACGCGGCUUAUGUCCUGGAAAGAGACGGGCAUGUCGUGGGGUGACGAAAAAGAGGUGACCGGAUUGCAAACAUGCAUCCAGUCCCUAGUAAACAAGCCAAUCCGGCUUGUUAAUGUAAUCCAGGUUAUGCUCGUCCGCCGGAUCCUCCCGUGCCAACAACGGGAUUUUAAUCUGUGGGAGUUCGAUCCGGCGCAGCACCAAACCCUUAGCAGGCUCUUCGACACGACGUAUGAAGAUGCCUAGAAGGUGCUAUUCAAGGGCGCCGAGGCUCCCGCAUCCGCUUCCGAGGACCGCGGAUAUAGCUCGCAGCGUCACGCUAGCGAGGUAAGCUAUCUUCACCUUUUACAGGAUGUUAAGCUUUUUUCAUAGUUUGACUCUAUGCGGGAUCUAAACUCCCUUACCUUUGACAGGCUUGGCGGGCGAUAUCCGGACCGAUUAACUGUCCGGCUCCGCUGCCCGAAGACCCAGCCCCAGCUCUACUAGUGAAGCUGCUGGUUCCGGCGCCUUAUGUGAUGCCGGUGAAGAAGGCCAAGAAGAACAAGACCACGAGGACUCGAAAGAGUGCCCGUAACAUGGUGGUGUCGGACUCGUCAUCUGACGAGUCCGAGACGCCCUCUUCUCGUGAAAACGAGGAGGAGGAAGAAGAGAACUCUCCCCCCCAGCGGAGGGAGGAGAGGAGAGGAAGGCCGCCCCCACGGGGGAGGCCGAGGGGUCUAGGAAAAGGAAGACCCCACCGCCGGAUUACUCUCCCGACGCUGAAGAGAGUGAAGAGGAGUGGCCAAACAGGGCCAAGCGUCCGGCGAAAUCAUAAGUUCGGAUAUCAGAGUAACUCAUGAUGUUCCUUUGUUGCACAACUUUCCCUAAUGUCGAACGUAAUUAUGCAGCCCGCCCCGGCCGAUUUCAACGAAUCGUCGGGCGGUUCCCUGGACUCAUCGGACGUGAACUCAGUUCCGCCCGCUGUCUUCCCCCGCACUACAGACGAUGCCGAAGUGGCGUCGCGACAAGCUCCGGGGCAGGAGGAGGUGGUCCCGGAGGAGCCGCAAGGCAACCUCCCGGACUCCAGGAGUGAAGGGGAUAAGGCCCCCCAGGGCUCCAAGUCCGGCUUUGUGCCGGACACCGCGCCAGAAUCUUCCACAGUUCCGGACCGCGGUGGGUGAACUCCUUCCAAGAGGAGCAAGCCUUCUGAGCCGGCGGCCUCCGUCCAACCGAAGGUGCCGGACAAUCUGCUGGAGGUGCUUGACGGCGCCUCCAUCGACGAGGGGCACCAUACUAUUAUGAGUACGGUGAUCCAGAAGGUUCGGUCCGCCAAGAGCGGACUGAAUGAAGCUUGCGCUAGCCUUCUAACAGGCUUCGAGGUAAGUAAAAAUAUGUAAAAAUAUUACCGCAUAGACAGUAGCCCCUGAUGCUCUGUUUGGCGUUCGGAAAGAAAAGCCGAAUAGAGGAUCUAUUAAAUAUCACAGGAGUCUAAAAAAAGAGUCAAUAUGCAUAUGCAGGCUUCGCUGCUAUCCACCGCCGCACUGACUGUGGAGGUGGGUGUCCUGAAGCAGGACCUUGAGCAGACCGAGCAAGAGCUCGGCCUUGCCAAGCGGCGGCUCGAGGAGAAAGAAGGUAAGAAAUAACUUACAGGAAGAGUGCCUAUAAAAAGGCGUGAUUGCAAAAAAAAAAAAGUAACAGGAUUGUACUGCUUAUUGUAGGGGCCACGACUGAGGUGGCGACCCUUAAGCAGGCGCUGUCUGAGGCCGAAAAGAAAACAGCCACGGAGCGCUCCGAGCGAGACAGACUUGGGACUCAGGUCGGCGAGGUGCAGCAAGAGCUUUAGGCUCUCAUGAAAAAACAUGAGAGUUUGGAGCUUGAGUCAAAGGCGCAAGCAUCCAAGCUCGCGACGGCCCUUGAGACUGCCAAGUCUGCCAAGGCCGAAGCCCAAAAGGCCCUCCAAGAGUUGGAGGAGAUGAGGAAGAUAGCAGCGGGUAAGGCAUUCUUUAUGCAAAGCAGAAAUAUAAAAGUAAACUACUUGUUACUUACCCGAAUCCGGAGCUCUCCAGGGGCAUUCGCAGAUCUUCCCCGCAGCGUACCCAAUGCCGCCGCAUUCUAUCGAGCUGAAGAUGGCAGCUCGACAUAGAAGGUGUUCUGGUCUCAGUAUUCUGAGGCCGGACACCCUGUGCCCUUGAGCGACCAGCUGAAACAGCUGGUCGAGCUCCAUAAGGCGGCCGAACAAGCCAUGAAGGGCUUCAUAGUUCGGCUGUGGCCCAGAGAGUCCCUGCCUGGGAGCUAUUUCGGGCUGGUGCGGCGGCUGGUUGAGGCCUGUCCGAGGCUCGAGGUCAUCAAGCGCUCCGUCUGCAUCGAAGGUGCCCGUCGGGCCCUUGCCCGUGCAAAGGUGCACUAGGGUAAGCUGGACGGUGAGAAGCUUGUGAAGGACGGGCCGCCGCCGGGGAAGGAGCAUCGCAAGCCCGAGAACUACUACAAGGAUGUUCUUGCAGGUGUCCGCCUUGUGGCGGAUGAAUGUACCAAGGAUGUGAUUUUUGAAUGAACUCGCUCGUGUUUAUCCUGUGCGCUGAAAACUUGUUCAUACGAGCUAAGCAAUGCUUAUUGAAUUUAAAAUAUUACUUUCUGUGUGGCCGUUUAUCAAAAAAUUGAGAAAUGGCCAGUCGUCAGCUUCUGCCCCCAUGCCACUAGUGUUGGGGUGUUCGUGAUAAACCUGAGCGCUCUUUUUCCCAUAGUUGGGUCCUUCGAGGGAGGCGCUCAGCACAACGAACCAGGCAAUCGGACUAUAAUGCUUGAACACUCUAACUUAGCCAUAGAACUCUAUAAUUUUAAAUUUUGGCGAAGCCCCUAGUUCGGAAGACCGAGUUCGGGGCGCUAUCCACGCCUUGGCCGGACAAAACCAGCUCCUCGCUCGAAGUGGCAUAAGUCUUUAGGGACUCGAAAAACCUCUCGAACAGCGACCGGUCUCUUGCCUCAUCAUGACAGUCAGUUUUAGCUUUCUCCACUGAGGUGCUUAACCCAGCUGAACCGGGGCACAAUCGCAGUGGUUCUCCUAGUUCUACCUUAGCCGAUAUAGCGGAACAUAAGGCACCAAAACAUAGGAGCCGGGCAAACCCAACUAUUGACCCAAAUCAUGAUUCGGAGCCGAUGCAUAUAGUGCUAUAAGUUCGGGGUGCCGCACUUGUGAAAGUGUACGGACUUCUUCACACCAUGAUGAGGGGUACUGAAGCCCCUGGCGUGUUUGCCGUACCAUGGUGUACGGGUGCAAUCAUGUCGUUUAAUAAACAUAUAUGUGAAAAGAGGAUGAUGCAAAAAAAUAGACAAAAAGCUAUGCAUUGUUUAUAGAGAGGCUAUUUAUCAAAGCCGAAUGAUACAAAUAGUGCGAUAAGCAAAAGGAUAUUGGACUAUUUAACAUGUCCUGACCAGGGGCAGGCCGCGGAAUUGUAUUCAAAAUAGGUAUAUUGCUCGUAACAGAGACCACCUGGGAGUUCCAUAAUGUGGCAUGGCUUGUCUGCCUCCCUGGAUCUUGCAUCGUUUGUGCGGCAGUCGAAUUGCCGAACAGGUCGUCCGAAGUAUGGAGUCCUGAAAGUAAGAAAAAAUUAAAAAAGAAUCCGACAGCCCCUAGUACAUUUUAAGCCGUAUUUUGGGCGUGCCGUUAUUGUGCCCCUUCCCCUGUGCCCAUGGUAUUUCAAGGGCGUAGUUAUGUACGCGGGGCACUGGUUUCGCUAUGUCGCGAGAGCUGGGGUUGGGGCCGCAUUGCUACGCUUGCUCAGAGCGUGCCAGGCGGUCCUGCUGUGGGUUACUCCGGGCGCGCUUGGCAGUGUCUGGCUUUUUAACGGCCGGACUGGAGAAUUGCCUAAGAAGGCUACUAUGUACUUCUGCUGCGAGAGCCGCCGUGUGCUCCUCCGUACGGAGGGAGCGUUCGGUGUUUCCGUUGACCGUGAUUACUCCUCGAGGGCCUGGCAUCUUGAGCUUGAGAUAUGCGUAGUGCGGCACCGCAUUGAACUUUGCGAAUGCGGUUCAUCCGAGCAGGGCGUGAUAGCCACUGCAAAAUGGGACUAUAUCAAAGAUUAACUCUUCGCUUCAGAAAUUGUCCGGGGAUCCGAAGACCACGUCAAGUGUUACUGAGCCUGUACAGUUGGCUUCUACACCUGGUAUAACGCCUUUAAAGGUCGUUUUUGUGGGCUUAAUCCUUGAGGGAUCUAUGCCCAUUUUCCGCACUAUAUCCUGGUAAAGCAGGUUCAGGCUACUGCCGCCAUCCAUGAGGACUCUUGUGAGAUGAAAUCCGUCGAUGAUCGGGUCGAGAACCAAUGCGGCGAAGCCGCCAUGACGGAUGCUAGUGGGAUGGUCCCUUCGAUCAAAAGUGAUCGGGCAGGAGGACCAUGGGUUGAACUUUGGGGCGACUGGCUCCAUCGCGUAUACAUCCCGUAGCGCACGCUUCCGCUCCCUCUUGGGAAUGUGGGUUGCGUAUAUCAUGUUCACCGCCCGCACUUGUGGGGGAAAGCCCUUCUGUCCAUUGUUGUUCGGCGGCUUGGGCUCCUCCUUGUCAUCGCUGUGCAGCCCCUUGUCUUUGUUUUCGGCUCUUAACUUGCCUGCCUGCUUGAACACCCAACAAUCCCUGUUAGUGUGAUUGGCUGGCCUUUCGGGGGUGCCAUGUAUCUGGCACAAGCGGUCGAGUAUUCGGUCCAAACUGGACGGGCCUUGAGUAUUCUUUUUGAAUGGCUUUUUUCGCUGACCGGAUUUAUAGCCUCUGAAUCCGGCAUUGACUACCGUGUCUUCAUUGUUGUCGAUGCUAACGCGGCAUUUUUGCUUAUUGCGACGUGUCCUACCACUUUUGUCCUUGGUAUCCGAAUUACCAGGGUUCUUUGAUAAGUUGUUACUGCGAGCUAGCCAGUUGUAUUCUCCCGCGCAAAAGCGGGUCAUGAGUGUCGUGAGGGCUGCCAUAGAUUUCGGUUUUUCUUGUCCCAGGUGCCGGGCAAGCCACUCGUCACGGAUGUUAUGCUUGAAGGCUGCUAGGGCCUCUGCGUCCGGACAGUCGACUAUCUGGUUUUUCUUUGUUAGGAACCGUGUCCAGAAUUGCCUGGCCGAUUCCUCUGGCUGCUGAAUUAUGUGGCUUAAGUCGUCGGCAUCCGGCGGUCGCACGUAAGUGCCCGGGAAGUUGUCGAGGAAUGCGGCUUCCAGGUCCUCCCAAGGACCGAUUGAGUCUGCUGGCAAGCUGUUAAGCCAAUGCCGGGCCGGUCCUUUAAGUUUGAGCGGGAGGUAUUUGAUGGCGUGUAGAUCAUCGCCGCGUGCCAUGUGGAUGUGAAGGAGAUAAUCCUCGAUCCAUACCGCCGGAUCUGUUGUUCCAUCAUAUGAUUCGAUGUUUACGGGUUUGAAACCCUCUGGGAUUUUAUGAUCCAUUACUUCAUCCGUGAAGCAUAGCGGGUGUGCGGCGCCUCUGUACUGGGCUAUAUCAUGACGCAGCUCGGAAGAGCUAUGUCUGUUGUGUUCGGCCCGGCCGGAUUUGUUGUAUCCGGAAUGAAGAUCAUCGUCACGUGCCGUAGGGCGCCUGCGCGAUCCGUAGAUCGAUCUUGUUUGUCUUGCCUUAUCCUCCAGUAUGUCUCGCAGGUCUGGCGCAUUUUCUCGUGCCUUAGUUGAGCGGCGUCGGGGCAUGGCUUGAGUGGAGGGCCGAGAGGCCUCUCUAUCGCGGCCGUGAGGUGGCCGGUCUGCCAUGUCGUGCACUGGUGAUGUAGGUGCUUCCUCCUCUGAUCGGGGUAGCGGCUUGCGCUUUGGGUAACUCUUGGAGGGGCAUUCGAGUUCAUACUCUUCGGCCGCAAGGACUUCAGUCCAUCUGUCAGCUAGCAAAUCUUGGUCAGCUCUAAGCUGUUGCUGCUUUUUCUCGAGGCUGCUUGUCGUGGCUAAAAGCCUGCGCUUGAAACGCUCUUGUUCGGCGGGGUCUGAUGGUACGACGAAUUCGUCGUCAUCGAGGCUUGCCUCGUCUUCGGAGGGAGGCAUAUAGUUAUCAUCCUAGACCUCUCGGUCUGCCGCUCUCUCAUGAGGGCUGGCUUCUCCAUCUUCUUGUGCCGAAUCUUGAUGGGGUGGGUGUUCUUCGGCGCUAUCCGGGGUAGUAUUGUCUCCCGUGCCGGAAUCACCGUUUUUGCUUUGGCGGGAUUUAGAGCGGCGCCGCUGACGCCGGCGCUUUGGCUGUUUCUUGGAGGUGUCAUCCCCCGCUAUUCCAUCGCCAUCUCCAUCUUUUGGAGUAUCCACCAUAUAUAUGUCAUAUGACGAGGUGGCCUUCCAGCGCCCUACAGGUGCUGGUUCCUGUUCAUCUCCUACAUCGUCGUCCAUACCGUCGAUGUCUUCGGAGCCGAAGUCAAGCAUGUCGGUUAAAUCGUCGACAGUGGCUACAAAGUGGGUGGUGGGUGGGUUUUGAACUUCUUCAUCGUCCGUAUCCCAUCCCCGCUGACCGUAAUCCAGCCAGGGCUCUCCUGAUAAAGAGAGAGACUUGAGAGAAUUCAGGAUGUCGCCAAAAGGCGAGUGCUGAAAGAUGUCCGCGGCGGUGAACUCCAUUAUCGGCGCCCAAUCAGAUUUGAUUGGCAGGGGCGUGGGGGGUUCGGAGUGCGGGAAGGAGUCCGGAUCCUUGGAGUCACGGGUCAUGCAGAGUGCAGGGCUGGCGUUCGGCUCGAUCGCCUUUGAGAUCGCCGCCCCCGAGGUGACAUCCAACCGCUCAUCCUCGAUUGGCACAAUAGGCUCCGAAUUAGGGGUCGGAACCGGUGCGUGUGCGGCCUCCAGGACACUGUCGGAGGCAGAGCUAGAUCAUGCCCCUCGGGAUAGUGCGACGCGCUUGGUCGUGGCUCGAACCCGUCGAAGAUCAAGUCUCCGCGGAUGUCAGCCGUGUAGUUUAAGCUUCCAAACCUGACAUGAUGGCCAGGGGCGUAGCUUUCGAUCUGCUCCAGGUAGUCAAGCGAAUUGGCCCGCAGUGCGAAGCCGCCGAAGACGAAGAUCUGUCCGGGCAGAAAAGUCUCACCCUGGACCUCAUCGUUGUUGAUGAUCAAGGGAGCCAUCGGGCCUAAAGGUGACGACACAGAGGAACUCUCAAUGAAAGCACCAAUGUCGGUGUCAAAACCGGCGGAUCUCGGGGUCACGAACUGUGCGUCAAGGCCGGAUGGUAACAUGAGACAAGGGACACGAUGUUUUACCCAGGUUCGGGCCCUCUCGAUGGAGGUAAUACCCUACUCUUGCUUGAUUAAUAUUGAUGAUAUGGGUAGUACAAGAGUAGAUCUACCACGAGAUCAAGGAGGCUAAACCCUAGAAGCUAGCCUAUGGUAUGAUUGUUGUAUAUGGAGUUGAUGUCCUACGGACUACAACCCUCCGGUUUAUAUAGACACCGAAUAGGGUUAGGGUUACACAGAGUCGGUUACAAUGGUAGGAGAUCUUGAAUAUCCGCAUCGCCAAGCUUGCCUUCCACGCCAAGGAAAGUCCCAUCCGGACACGGGACAAAGUCUUCAAUCUUGUAUCUUUAUAGUCCUGGAGUCCGGCUGAAGGUAAAGUCCGGCUACCCGAACACCCCCUAAUCUAGGACUCCCUCACUCUCGUUUCCGGGCGUGUCCGGUAGGGACAUGCGGACAGCUGCCACGCCCGCUCCUGACCAGCCUGGCCCACCCAAAGCCCCUCCAUCGCCCGCGCGUGCUUCCCGCCCGAAACGGUCAGCGCCUCUCCAAAGAAUCGAUGCCGCAUUCAUGCUCGGGCAGAGCGGACGCGACCUCUCACUGGCGCAAGAGUGAUGGUUGCUUCGUCCGUCCAACUUACUGCUGGGUCUAUGUGAUUUGACGGCUCAUUGGUCUUUAUUACUGAGGUGGUAGGACUGCUGGAUGUCCCACGCUUUCUGCGAAAGGAGGUAUACUACUACUACUACUAGAUUAUAAUUUUCUCCAUUCUUACAGCGGAGGCAUGCAAGAGCAGUGAAAACACACAGGCUCAGUGAUUACAUGGCCCACCUCACACUACUAUCACCGUGCGACACCUAACUCUUUACAUAGUACUCCCUCUGUUCCUAAAUAUUACUAGAUGAGUCCCCGCGCGUUGGCGGGGAAUAACGGUAUAUCUCUCUGUGCAAAAUUAUUGAUUUCAUAGAACAAAAAAAACUCUAUAAUCGCAUGACAAAUCUGGUAGCCAAACUAAAUAAACUCCCAUCAUCAUUUACAUCAUCCCACGCAAGGAAAAAAGAUCAGCCAACUCCUGAACUCCUACUGCAUAAUGGGAUUAUAUUUUUCUUUUUGACAUGUUAAUGGGACUUAAAAGCUCACUUACAUGCAUGCUACCGGUGCAUGCUUGCAUGCAGACAUGUUGAUGUGAUUUAAAACCCACUCACAUGCAUGUGGCACGGUAUUUUUGCAUGCUUGCAUGUGGCUUAGUGCUGAGCCUCUCAACGUCAAGAUCAGACGGCUAUUAUGGACUGAUUUACUUCAUCUAGCGGCUACAUCAAUUUUGAUGACGUGGCUCAAGGAGAUGAUAGAGAAUUCCUAGUAGUGGGGGCUAGCUAUUACUAGUAGAUAUAAGUCUUUGUAGAGAUUCCACUACAUACGGAACAAAAUGAAUGAAUCUACACUUAAAAUGCAUCUAUAUACAUCCGCAUGUGGUUCAUGGUGAAAUCUCUACAAAGACUUAUAUUUAGGAACAGAGGAAGUACUAGUAUAGUACGUACUAUAAUUUAUCAGCGAGAUAAAUUUGUACAAUGCUAUGAAGCUUCCAGCUUCUGUUACAUGUAUCUUGCGUCCAAGGUUGCCCGUUGCAACAUUUCAUCAAAUACAAAGGAGACUAACAUGCAUGCUAUUGCAUCUCAAUGAUUGACAGAUCAUAGCAAAUAUGUACUCCCUCUGUUCCAAAAUAAGUUUCUCUACUUUGUGCAAACUUUAGUACAAAGUUGUACUACUACUAAAGUUGACACUUAUUUUGGAACAGAGGCAGCUAAAGAAAAAAAUGAUCCAUGUAGUCCCUAGCCCUUGAACCGUGAACCCUGACCAGGCAACGUUCGAGCUUCCUAAUAAAUGAAGUUUGCAACCUUUUGACCAUCGGAUCAUUUUGUGCAGUUUCACCAAAAUCGAGAUGAGCAUCCCUGUGGCAAAGAAAUUGAACAAGCGUGAUUAGAAUAAGAUUACUGGGACUAGUUGAUGAGACAUAAACUCAUCACAAAUACAGUACGUAGAAGCCAGUAGAGGUAUGUGCGGGGCAAAGAAGUAGAGAAAUAUCCACAGGGAGUGAUGUGGGCAGCUGGAGCAGUGGUGCAAGCCGGCUAUAAAGGGAGUUGUACCUGAGGGACGUAGCUCAACCUUGAGGAGGGCGGCGGGAGGCAGCAACUACCCACGUCACGGCAGUGAGCAAGGGACGAAGGCAACCUCACCGGCUUUGUGAGAGAGAACGGCGGGGACCCCUGAUCGGGACGUGCCGAUAGUGGUUUUUCGCCGUCAGUGACGGCCACUGCAUCUACACUAAGCAUCCACCCCUUCCCCAAGCGGACGUGAUCCGCCGGGAUGUUAGAGAUGUGGCCACAGUCGUUUUGUGCGAGAGAGUGUGAAGAGAGCAACCCCAGCAAGCAACCAUGUAGGCUGGCCCGUCCUGACUAUGUACUCCUUUUCUCUCCAUAUGAACCUACCAUAUUGCGUACGUGCCACUGAAGAAGAAAAACUUUAUUUAUAAAUGGCGCGGCACCUACUACUCGUUCUCCUAUAACCUUGUGCUUGGCAUCUCCAAAAUAUUGACCUUGCGAUUGGCUCUUCGCCUCUUCAGGAAGUCGAGCAAUAAUGGUAGUGCAGUAUAUAUCGUUCUGGCUAUAUGAGACCGAAUGAAUUGCUGCACCUCCACCACGUGGGCGAGGGUCGAGGGGCGAGGGAGAGUGCUACAUACGGAGCAAAAUGAGUGAAUCUACACUCUAAAAUACGUCUAUAUACAUCAGUGUUUGGAGUAUGUACUAGUAGUUCAUAUUGAAAUCUACUAAAGGACAUAUAUAUUCCAAACAAUAUGAUAUAAUCUCUAUAACCAAGGUAGUAGGGACGAGGAGUAAAUGAAGGGAGUAGUAAAUUUUUCUCCUCGUCCUGCGAGCCACCGUGCGCAUGGGCGAGGGAGCGGGCGUAAGGCGUAGUAAGCAAGCUUCACCUCAUCCUGCGAGCCACCGCGCCCGUGGGCGGGGGAGACAGCGUACUAAGGAAGCUUCUCCUCGUUCUGCGAGUUGACGGGACACAUCAAAAGUACUCCAGUGUAUAGAGCCUUGCCUCUAAGGUAGGCCCCACAUGGUUUGCCUCUUUUUUUAACAAAACACGUCAAGUCGUAAUUUGUUUGUUCACCCGUGGUAGACGAUCCUCCCUCCACCAAGUGGACAACCAGUACACGUGCCAAAUUACCAUGUGGGCUGCCUUUUUCGUACAGAAAUGAGCUCCACCGUGUACCCGCGCGGGUGUGGUUGGGAAAGAGACGGGAGUAUGUGCGCCGUGCAUGCACCUCUUCUCUUUGUGCAUGUUCCCCACCUACGUGGGUGUGUGUGAGAGAUACAAACUGCGUUCGUGAGUGUUUUUUGUUUUGGGGUGGGGGUGGGGUGGGGGUUGAUUUCGUGAAUUAUUUGUGGGAAUAUGUGUCGAUGACAUCUCAAACAAAAUUUUGCAUGCAAUGUGUGUGAAAUGGAGGCCUAUCCAUAUCAUACAUAGAGGGUCGGGCAAUCCACGAGAAGAGAGGGAGGGGUCAUAGCUAUCGAUAGAGUCGAAGAGAGGAUCAAGUGGGUGGGUGCGAGAUCGAUGAAGAGAGCCAUCGAAGUUGUGUGUGUGUACAAGUCAAAGAUAUAGGGCGACUGGCCUACCGGAAUGUUAGAGGGCACACGUCAAGUUUGUGUGUGGCAGGNNNNNNNNNNNNNNNNNNNNNNNNNNNNNNNNNNNNNNNNNNNNNNNNNNNNNNNNNNNNNNNNNNNNNNNNNNNNNNNNNNNNNNNNNNNNNNNNNNNNNNNNNNNNNNNNNNNNNNNNNNNNNNNNNNNNNNNNNNNNNAGAAGGAGAGACCCAGCUAUGUCUUGAGGGAGAUCGGUUGACAUCCAUACAUAACUGAAGGAUGGGAAAUAUGAUGGGAGAGAGAUAGAGGAGAGAGAGAGGGAGGGAGAGGGAGGGAGAGGGGUAGAGUGCUGGAUGGGUGAUGGAGUUGCUUCUUGAAGAUGGUGGGAGAGGCCUACUAGACAAGCUGAGGGUGGAACUGCAAUGUUAUCAAUAAGAGUGAGGAUGUGUUUCUGUGUGUGCCUGUGCGUGAUGGAUCUGUCGGGACGCAUCCAUGGAUGAUGAAGGGGAACCAUGUGUUUGGUAAGCAAACCUAACUAGAUCGGUAGAUCAAUUGUUGUUUGUCGGAGGAAGGGAGAGACACAACUAAUGAGGUAGAUCGAUUGACGUGUGGGUAAAAACGAGUUAUAAGGACCUAGCUAGCUAUAUGUAUAGCGAGAGAUCGGUCGGUGUACGUCCAUUUGUUAGAGGCUAAUAAGGCCCAGCAAGACGGAUAGACAAAGAGAAUGGAGCUAGGAGGUGGUGCGAGAGGCCCAACUACUAGCUAGAUAGGGGAGGAGUGUGUGGUUGUGAGAGAGCGAUGAAAAUAGGGGCGAGAGUUUACACGUGUGUCUGACCGUAUGAGAGACACGAGGCAAGGACACAUAAAGGAGGAGAUUGAAGGUGUGUUUGUAUGUUGUAGGCAGGCAUCGCUGGAGAGGUUUAUCGAUCGGUGUGUGUCGGAAAGGAGUUGUGGAGCUCUGGGAGAACGACCUAAAGAAAAAAAUGAAUGUGCCCGGUGGGUAGAAUGCCGAGGGAGGGGAGGGCGAGGAGGGCGUGUGCAUGCACGAGAGAAAGUUAGUGGUAGCUACAAAGGUUAGAGGAUUGUGUGGGUGUAAGAGACUAACAAAGAUCAUAAUUUGAUAUGAAAGUGGAUUCAUAUAUUUGAAUAGGAGAUCAUAGUGUUUUAAACAUUGCAUGCAUGAAUAUAGCGGCCAUACACGUGUUGUGCACAUGUUAUACCAUAAUGUGAUAAUGCAUGGUGUUUGCAACUCACAGCUAAAUGCCGAACAAUCUAAACCAUACUAUACAUCAAACAAUCUCACAUUUUAUUUGAAUUUGUGAUAAUGUGUGGCGUUUGCAGCUUACAACUAAAUAUCGAACAAUCUAAACAAUACUAUAUAUCGAACAUUCUCACAUUUUAUUUGAAUUUGCGGUAAUGUGUGGUGUUUGCAACUCACAUCUAAAUACUUGUAGGUGUAUGGGGCGGGGCACCAUACAUAAUGUGAUAAACACAUUAUACAUAUGAGACAUGGUUUAGAUUAUGAAGAUCUAGCUAGAGCUAGAAAUGUAAUGUGAUUUGAAAUCAAAAUAAAGUGGAUUCAAAAAAUCUAGUUCGAGUUCAUAUAGUACACAUAGUUCAUAUGUAACUCGAGACUAAUCAUGUGGUGUGGUGUGAAGAUAAUACACAAACGAUGGUUUAACUUGACAAUAAUGAUGAUUGUAGAUCUUAUUAAAACAGAGAAACGAAUUCAAAUGCUUUGACUUCACAACAAUCAUUACUGUAGAUCUUAUUCAAAUAGAGAAACGAAUUCAAAUUUAGUUCAUAUUGAAGCGGUAGUAUAUACGUUUGGAAUGCACUAAAACGUUCAUUUGAGUAGUAGGUUGCAUGCAUUAUACACGUAGCAAAAUAUUUUAAUUGAACAUAACAUGAAUUCAAAGUUUUGAAUGACAUUUGUAGGGCGCAUUGAUUUGGUACAGUACACGUUAGGCUUGUCCGGGAAUUUCAACCUGCGCCUUGUUAGCCCAAAAUAUUUAAGAUAUAUCUUUGUCUCGUUGUGCUCCGACAACUCCCUCCAUCUCAACUCGCGCCUUGCUACUCCGAAAUUACAACGCGCGCGAAAACUCCCACCUCCUAUGAAAUUCCGACACACGAAAUGCCCGUGGUACCCCUGAACCGAAAGAACCGCCUCAAAUCGGUGGGGGUACUUUCGUAACUUACCCCACAUUUCGGACAAGCGUGUCUCUAAGCCAUGGUUCCCCACUGCCAUCCCAUCCUCCCACCCAUUCGUACACCGAGGCCGCGAAAACCCAUGACGAAACCCCACACCCUGCUCCGUCCGCCACCCAGGCGGAGCCUCUCCCCCGACGACGUCGUCCACAGCAACACCUCGACGUCCCUCAUCCACCGUACCGGAUGAGGAUCCGUCGUCGAUCUCAUCGUCCUGCCGGUUCAGCCACACCGUCCUCCACCUCCAAGGAGCUGCCCCGACGUUCCCCUCGUCUUUUGCGCCACCUCCAUUCCCACACCGCCCUCUUCACCUGCACCAUCGGAAGAGCAUCAUCAUCACCGUUUCCUCGAAUGAAGUUGCGGCCUAAUCGGCGCCACCAAAGAGGUUGUACACUAAUCGCCGCAUUUUCUUCUUGAUUCGAUCUCACGGUGCUGCCGGCGCUCGGUCCCGAGCCGACACGGCGCGGCUCCAUCCACGGCGGCGUCGCCGGCCACUUCCUCCACGGCGUCGCUCCCUCGGCGGUGACGUCCACAUCAGUAGGACCUGCUGAUGCUUUAGCUCUCGCUCGCGCUGCUGCUCUGCUCUUGCUCUCGGUCCCCUGCCUGGUCUGCUCUUGCUAUUGCUCUUGCUCGCGCUGCUACUCUCGCUCUUGCUUGCGAUGCUGCUCCGAUUUAGCUACACUUCACUCCGAUGCCGCCGGGUGAAGGAAGAACCAGCCGCAGCGGGGAGGGGGGCUUGCCGGAGAGGUACCCCACUAUCUAUCUUAGGGUUCAGGAUGGGGGCGGUGGUCGCUGGCGCUGGCGGGGCGUUGGCGGGGCGGUGGCGUGGGGAUCACCGGAGAAAAAGCUCGGCACGGGGGGGGGGGCCUAGAGGGAUGGCCGGGGCGACGGCGGACCGGCGGUGGGGAGUGUUUUCGGGGCGGGCGGGGCGGCGCACCAUGGGCAUCGGGGGGCUGCUGUUUGGCCGGCUCAGGGGGGUGGAGGUUGAAGAUGAACCGUAGGCCCUUGAUUUCGUAUCCAACGGCUGCAAAAUCGACUGACCAGAGAUGAAAAAGUCAGUCGACCGACGUGUAGCCUCACCUUGCUAGUGCGUCCAGUUUCGACAGCAAAAUUCAGUUUCGACAGUUAAGUUUAGUUUUGACAGUUAAGUUUAGUUUCGACAGUUAAAUUCAGUUUCGACAGUUAAGUUCAGAGAUGAGCGGCUGAUGUAUUUUACAUCUAGCACUUUGUGGUUAUGUAUUUUAUGUCAUGUAUUGGAGAUGCUAUUAGAAUUCCACUCAGGUUAACGUUGUUCAUUGUCUCUCUUUGCUUCAGCCUCGGCGUCGUACAACUCACCGGAGCUGCUCCAACGACGAAACCCUCCAUCACAGUGCAGCAGUACCUCGGGCUCCAUCUCCAAACGCCUAAGAUCUUCUUCCCCUCCUCCGACAGCCAAGUCAGCCGGAGCAUCCUCACCGGCCAACCCAAUCAUGCUGAGAUCGACAUGGCUUCGCCAAAGAGGUUGUACACUUGUUGCAUCUCUUUUUUACUCUACAUGUUAUAUAUAUUGUCCACUGAGCACACGAAUUUGUUCCUUUAGUGUCUCCUUGAAAGAAAAAAUGUAGGAAUUUUAAUUUUCACUUGUCCUCCUUUUCAAAUUCCUAUUCAUGAAGCACAAGACUAAGAGAUAGUAGCAUAAUAGCAUUAUAACCGUACAUUUUCUUGUGGUUUGACUUAAUCUCACCAUGCUUCUUUGCAUCAUGUGAUCUUCCAAUUGUUGUGAAUCAAACACCCAGAUUGGCAGAAAUAUUGUGUUCUUAAAUUCUCUGUUUUGCACGUGCAUUCCUAUCCUAUUCCUGUCUAUUUCCUAUCCCUGCAUUGUUGUAAUCCUCCAAUUCAAACGAGCCCUUACAGAAUUACUUCUCUUACAUAUAGUUGUCAAAGAAAACCUUGCGUGGUUUGUCCCGCUCCUGUUGCACCGUCGUCCACCCCAGCUCAGCUGCUCCAACGAUAGAAGGGUCCAGCACAGCAGGGAUCCGACCUCCAGACUGUCUUUCGCCGCCUCAAAUCUUCUUCCCCGCCACUGGCAGCCAUGAAAACUGCACUACCAUCAUCAACCGAGCAGAUGACCUCGAGGACUACACGGGUCCGCAAUAGAGGUCGCACUCUUUCGUGUCUGCUUACGUUAUGCAUCGCUUAAUAUUACAUGCUACUUUAUCGUCCUAUUCACCGAUUAGACUCUGAGUCAGCUCCAAACUAAUGGUAAAACUUGAGUUUUUAAAUGGUUGUGGGGUACAUAUCGGGGCCGCUAUCAAUAGUAUCUAUCUACUAUCUGGUUAAUAUCCGGUGUCUACUACGAGUUUAAUGUUGGGUGGGAAACAAACAGUAAAGAAGCCAUUAUCUGUAUUUUUUAACUGAAGCCAUUAUCUGCCUGCUAUUAUUGGUUUUGGGUCUAUCCACAGGUUGCUACCAUCACUCUGGAUUUCUGCAUGCACUCCUUACAUAAUCUCACUAUGUUUUAUUCCUAUGCAUGAUAGAUAUUGUAAACAAUGGAACUGAACAUGUAGAGCAAAAGAGACGAGCCUUGUGUGGCAAUAAAAUUUCAUGCAGAUGUCGCUCCAUGGUAGGCGCAAAGGCAGCCCCCCUCCACGCAUUUCGGAUUGUAAUCGAGAGGAAGAUAUCUGUUCUGAGGGGGAUUCAAAAGAAGAAGAUAACUCCUAUUUACCCCCUGAGGUCUUCGCUCUAACUUGGCAUGCUGAUGUUUGUUAUAUCAUGCAUAUGGUGUCUUGCAUUGCUUACCUUAUACAUCAAAUAUGUCAUCUACUUAGUUUAGACAUCCUUUGUGCGAAUGCCAUCUGUUUAGUUUAUUCAUCGUUUAUGUGAAUUAUGCAACGCCACCUUGUUUAGCCAGGCAUCAUAUAUGUGAAUUUUGCAAUGCCAUCCUACUUAGCCAGUCAUCUUAUAUGUAAAUUAUAUCAGGCCAUCCUUUUUUUCAUUACAUAUUACAUUUGUCAACAAUGUUAUUACAUUCAACUGCUCUUCGUGUGCAUCAGCCAUUUGACACGGUGAUGGCAAAUUCUGGAGUGAAAACAAGGUCUUCAGAGCAGACUACGCUAUCUGACGAAGCGCAUAUCUCGCUGGUUAUGGAUAGCUCCUCAGAGGAGGAUUCAGAGACAGGUGACCAGUCCUAUCCCCCCCUGAGGUGUAUGCUCUAACUUGGCAGGGUUAUGUUGCUCAUAUCGUGCGUAUGGUGUCUCGCAUUGCUAUGUCAUUUGAUUAGUUUAGACAUGCUUUGUGUGAAUGCCACCUGUUCAGUGUCUAAUUACCAUAUAUGUGAAUUAUGCAUUGCCAUCUUGUUGCAAGACAUUAUAUAUGUGAAUUAUACAAUGCUAUCUUGUUGCAAAGGCAUUAUAUAUGUGAAUUAUGCAAUGCCAUGCUGUUUAGCCAAUCAUCAUGUAUGUGAAUUAUAUCAUGCUAUCAUUUUUUGUAUUACGUGUUCCAUUUGGCGACAACGUUUGUAUAUUCAACUACUCUUCCUGUGCAUCAGCCAUUUGAAGCGGUGAUGGAAGUAUCUGGAAUGAAAACAAGGUAUUCAGAGCAGACAAUGCUACCUGCUGAAGCAGACAUCUUGCUGGUUACAGAGAGCUCCUUAGAGGAGGAUUCAGAGACUGAUGACCAGUCCUAUUUUCCCCCUGAGGUCUAUGCUCAAACUUGGCAGGGUUAUAUUACCCAUGUCAUGCAUGUUGUCUUGCAUUGCUUAGUUUUUACAUCAUAUAUGGAUUGCCAUCUACUUACUUGCUUACUAUAUAAAUCAUACAUUUGAAUUAUAUCAUGUCAUCAUGUUUACAUAGUACAUACACAUCAUCUAUCUAAAUUAUGGCAUGGCAACCCAUUUAAUAAAGACAUCAUAUAGUUAUAUCAUCUCAUCCUGUUUAGUGUUUACAAUCAUCAUAUUUUGAAUUAUGGCAUUCUAUCCGUGAGUGUAUGUGAAUUAUGGCAUGCCAACCUAUUUAAUAAACACAUUAUAUAGUUAUGUCAUGUCAUCAUGUUUACAUAGUCUCAUAUUUUGAACUAUGUCUUUCCAUCUUUUUUAGUUAGCCAUCAUAAUGUGAAAUUGUGUCAUGCUAUCCUGUUUAGUUAGCCAUCGUAUAUGUGAAAUUGUGUCAUGGUAUCCUGUUUGGUUAGACAACAUAAAUAUGAAUUAUUUCAUGCCCUCUUUUAUUCCCCACUAUCCAUUGCACCUAUCUAUCAUACAAUGUCUAUACUUUCAAUUACUUUUCUUGUUUAUCAGCCAUUUGAAUUGGAGAGCGUGAUGGCAGUAUCUAAGGGAGUAACAACACGGUCUUCAGAAAAGAUAGUGCUACUAGUUGAUGCAGAUAGAACCACGGUUGUACUUGCCCAAGGACCAGAUCCACCACACAUAACCCAGACUCUCGCAGAUUGUACCCCUACCUAGUUGGACAGAGAACCAGCUACACCCCUUCUAACCCCAACCCUGGCAGAUAGUAACCCAGUUCCAGUUGACACAGCACCGUCUCCACCACAAAGCACCCAAACACGAGCAGUUAGUAAGGGAACUGCAAUGCCCAAAGCACGAGGAUCACCACUCCGAAUCCCAACUCAACGCUUAAAGGAGAAGAAGAUUUGUUCUCAGGUCAGGUUCUGUAGCUAUGGUUCAUACUCCUUUGCUCUUGCAUGACUGUAUUUACUCAUACCAACUAUUUUCAAAUUUGAAGGAUGGAAUUGAAACUCCAAUGGUGCAACAGGUAUGUUUUAAACCUGUUUCUUUAACCGGUUUGCUGUUGUAACCUACUCUAUGUUGAUUUUAGUUUCAAUUGAAUACACAAUUAUGUUCUCAUGUCAUGCACAUUACAAGUGUUUUUAUUUCUCUAUAGUUACCCACACUUAUAUUCUGUCUAUUCUGCUUUGUCUUGAACAAAUAUUAUUUGAACUGUGUCUCUAUCUUGAUUUGGCAACAAAAACUAGAAUGGUAUAGACCAUAAAGUGACCAUGGUACAUAGAUAUAUGUUUGUUUCAUGUUGUUAUCCUGUCCACUUUACUACUGAACUCAUUUACCAAAAUGAGUUUCAUAUACAACAUGGUAAACAUGUGAUGUGUCUGCUUGUUUCUCUUUUAGAAUACGGACAAAAUAUUGGAGAACAGUACCGCGUUAUCCAAUGGAAAAGGAAGUAAUGCAUAUAAGGUUCAAGAUAGUGAGACAUCCCUGUUGGUCUCCAAGAAAGCUGAUAAAAACUAUCUUGACGACAGUGAGGGAACCCGAAAGUCCUGUCUUGAUGUAGUGUUCGAGUUACUGGUCACUACUGCUGGCACAAGCUCUUCAAACUCGCUGCCUGAAUCAGUUCGUCUUCUUGAGUCUGAACUUCAAGUUGAAAGACAUCGAUCAGAUGUGCUGCGACAGGAAGCUGAAGGACUGAGGAAGUCUCUGCAGAAUUCAGAUGCAUAUUUUCUGGUGCAACAGCAAGCGCUGGAGGAUUUAAGCGCCAAAUAAGAGAAAGUUAAUAAGCUUGCUAAGCAUCUUGCCAGCAUUAUGGGUACCCAGGAUAUUGUUUCUUGAGAUCUUCUGAAGUGGUUUGAGUUCUGGAUUUGUUUUGCUGCGGCGUUUAUUUGCGCUGGUCGUCAACUUUGACAACCAGUGUAUAUGAUAUGCUGCUUUGUUCCCUAUAUUUACACUGGUGGCGAACUUUGAUUCCCAGUGGAUGUAAUAUGUGUAAUAGCCGUGAUAGCCUAGCAUUAGUUGCUUGCUUAUUUAUUUCCUUGUUGUCUUGUUUAUUUGUUUGCUUGUAGUCAUUGCAGUUCUUUUUCCGCGGUUAGCUAGUGGCUGCAAUAACCUAUUUUUUUAAACUAGGCCACAACAACCAUGGGCUAAUAUUUACUAUAGUGACACUGGGCCUCCUACUGGCCGUAGAAACAGUGGGCCUUCUAUGGGCCGUAGAAACAAUGGGCCUUCUACGGGCCGUAGAAACAAUGGGCCUUCUGCGGGCUGUAUUAUCAAUGGGCCUUAUACAGGCCGUAUAAUCGAUUGGCCAAACAUGGGCCAAACAGACCGCAUUAUGGCCGUAAAUGGGCUAGAGUUGGAAUCGUCCGUUCAUGGGCCGACCAUAACGGGCCAUCGUUAAUAGGCCGUAUUUGAUGAUGCUAUGGAAUCGGCCCAACGUAUUAAUGGACCACAAACGGGCCGACUGUAACCACGGGCUGAAUUUGGCCCAUAAGCAGAAAAUGACAGUAACGGGCCGUAAGUAAAGGAAUGCUGGAAAUGAGCCCAAGAAUAAAUGGGCUCUGAGAAGGCUGAAAGAUAACAUGGGCUGGAAACAGCCCAACGGAAUAACGGGUCGUUAAUGGGUAUAAAGUGAUACACUGUUCAUUACGGUCCAGUUUCACCAUGGGCCGUUAAUGGGUGUAAAGUGAUACACUGUUCAUUACGGCCCAGUUUCACCACGGGCCGUUAGUAGGCCAAGAGUUACAUAGGGCCUCAUAUGGGCCGAAAGACGUCAUGGGCCAUACAUGGGCCAAAAGUGAAAACGGGCUGGAAUCAUAUUGGAUGGCCCAGAUGACGCUACUGGGCCUAAUUCGGAUAGGGUGUAACGGGCCUUGGGUUAGCGGGCUGUAAAUGGGCUAUAUUCGAACAGGCCGUUAACAGGCUUUCCAUGGGCCGGCCCGCCAGCUUUUGACCAAGUCAAACCAGCUAGCCUUUUCACAGGAAUGGGCCUCUGUUGGGCCAUGCCAUGUGUCGACGUAUCAUAGGCGCCUUCCGUCCAAUGAGUGGUUGACAUCUGUCCCAACGAUGAGCCGACAUGUGUUUCCUCCAGCCAAUGAUGAUUUUACACGUGGAAAAUCCCCAUUGGUCGGGGCUGUUAAUGGGUUAUCGGAUCCAAAACCCGACCCGAUAGCUUUACAGCGUUCCGUUACUGUGGAUGCCACGUGUCGGUCACCCUUGACGAAAGCACUUCUGUGACGCGCAAUUUAUCGUCAUGGAAGUGGACACUUCCGUGAUGAUAAUUUUGGUAAUGUCAUGGAACACUUCUACGACAGCACAGGUAUGACUAUCUUGAUUCUGUCAUAAAUUUGUCAUGGAUGUACAUGCAUGACAAAAAAAAGCGACCUACUGUGACAAACACGUAUCAUCACGGAAGUGUAUUUUUUUUGUAGUGUGCAGGGUAUUGCCCAAGCCUUGUGGCCAUCCGCCUCCCUGCCAGGAGGCAUGGGGGAGCUUAUAGAGAAGCUCAAGGGAGCGCGGCGGUGCUUAGGAUUAUGGAAGAUAUUAGCCUGCCAACAAGGUGCAAGGGAAGCCUGGGCCAUGGUGAAGACGCGAUAUAUCAAAGCUGACCCAAACCACAUGGCCGAGGUCGGACCUGUGGGGCCUGAUGGGAAUGAGAUCCCCAUCAGUUUGGUGUAUGACCAAGUAGAAUUAGCCGCAAAGUAUUCCCAACAGGAUUGUAGGCUAGACAGCCUGUUGGAUGGUAUAGAAGAAGAAUUUAGUCAGUCUUAGUGACUGUGUACUUUAAGUGACAUGUAUAAUGUCCCUAGCCGGAUUGUAAAUCAUUUGUCAUGGCAGACCUUUUCGCUUCGACCUCUGGACCCGAUAGUCCAGAGUGUAUCCGAAUACCCGCUCGGUUAUGUAAAAACCGGGAUAUGCGUGGAAACCAGGCGUAGGGGUCAUAAGUGCUUGAACAGACAAGUACCCAACUAGCUAUGUUAUAUUACAUGGAUAGUAAGAAACAUCUUCCAGGGAGAGUAGUUCCGUUAAGGGUUCCUUUCCCUGGGUACGCAUGCCCUAAUGUGCAUGUCCGAACUGCGAAAAGAGACGCGGGCUAUAAACAUCUGGGGGCAUGUAUCAAAAUAAAGAAAAGUCAUCUUUUGUUCACCGACCGAAUAUUCCCUUAAGAACACUAGCUUUCGGCUUCAUCCAGUGUGAGGUACACAUCCGACUGACCCGGUAGUAACAAUCGCAGAGGUGCUCCCCUUAUGCCCUAGCCGAAUUAACGGGAACGUAGGGCAUAAAUACAAGAGCCAGACAACCCAGCUUGGCCAAAACUUAAGUCAUAUCGAUGCAUAUAAUGGCGAAAAAAGGUACAUGUGGAAGAAUGACACAUGUGUGGGGCAUAAGGCCCAGAAAAAUAGUUAUAUUAAGCUUUUGUAUAAGAAGCCCCCAGGUAUAAUGAGCGUAGUUAGCGCGUCAAGAUUGUGUAGUCAAGACACAGUUUAGCCUGUUAAGGCCUUGAGGAGAAGAAAAAAGAAGGGAGAAAGAGAGAAAAUAUGGAUAUGCAAAAAAUUGACGGGGGUAAGGAGACGAACAUAGAGUUCGGCAUUAGGCGUAGAAUCUUCGGAGUCUGGCUGCAUUCCAUGGGUUUGGCUCGAGUCGAUUGUCCAAUGCAUCCCGCAGACGGUACGCUCCACCGGUUAGAACCUGGUCAAUAAUGAAGGGACCUUCCCAUUUGGGCUUGAUCUUGUUCUUUUUCUUCUCCGGCAGGCAUAGAACUAGUUCGCCAACGUUAUAGGUUUUGACCCGUACUUCUCUGCUUUGAUACCUUCUAGCCUGUUGCUGAUAGAAUGCAGAACGGGCUUUUGCCAUGUCGCGCUCCUCCUCCAGGGCGUCCCAACUAUCCUGCCGAUCGAGCUCGGCCUCUCUUUCUUUGUACAUGCGCACUCGAGGUGAGUCAUGAAUUAUGUCGCAAGGCAGAACCGCCUCUGCGCUGUACACCAUAAAAAACGGUGUGUAUCUGGUAGUGCGAUUCGGCGUGGUCUGUAGCCCCCAUAGUACGGAGUCGAGCUCCUCUACCCAGUGCAUGUUUGAUUCCUUUAAGGACCGCACUAAUCUGGGUUUGAUGCCGCUCAUGAUAAAAUCAUUUGCUCGCUCGACUUGACCGUUAGUUUGCGGGUGAUAGACAGAAGCAUAAUCGAGCUUGAUGCCCAUGUUGCUGCACCAAAGCUUUACCUCGUCGGCUGUAAAGUUCGUGCCAUUGUCAGUGAUGAUGCUGUGGGGGAUGCCAUAACGGUGUACAACCCCAGAUAUGAAGUCUAUCACCGGUCCGGAUUCAGCCGUUUUAACGGGUUUGGCUUCUAUCCAUUUGGUGAAUUUUUCCACCAUGACCAGUAAGUAUUUUUUCUUAUGGGUUCCCCCUUUAAGGGAUCCUACCAUAUCAAGCCCCCAGGCCGCAAAGGGCUAAGUAACGAGGAUUGUUUGGAGAGCGGUAGGUGGCAUAUGGCUUUGGUUUGCAAAAUGCUAGCAACUGACGCAAUGUUGGACCAGAUACUAUGCAUCUGCGCGGGCCGUCAGUCAAUAGAAACAUGUACGGAAGGCCUUGCUUACAAGGGCCCGGGCUGCGGCAUGGUGGCCGCCGAGUCCAACAUGGAUUUCUGCCAAAAGCUUCCGCCCUUCCUCUUCGGAGAUGCACCUUUGAAGGACUUCGGUAGUGCUUUUCUUAUAAAGCUCUCCCUUAUGGACCUUGUAGGCUUUAGAUCGACGCACUAUGCAGAAUGCCUCAUUUGGGUCCUCGGGUAGUUCCUGCCUGGUUAGGUAGGCCAGGAAUGGUUCUGUCCACGGGGCGAUGACGGCCAUUAUCACGUGGGAUGAAGGUGUUAUUUUGGUGGCAGAGCCUCCGAUUGUGUCAGAGUGUUCGGUAUCUGGUGUUGUGGCCGGGCCCGGACUAUUGUUACCGGUGUCCCCUUCCCAUACCCCGGAUGGCUUAAACAGCUUUUCCAAGAAGAUGUUAGGUGGGACAGGGUCGCGCUUAGCACCGAUACGGGCGAGGAUAUCUGCCGCCUGAUUGUUUUUCACGAGCCACAUGGUGGAAUUCAAGCCCCUCGAACCGAGCUGACAUUUUGAGGACGGCAUUGCAAUAUGCCGCCAUUUUCAGAUCCUUGGCGUCGAAGUCUCCAUUUAUUUGAGAUAUUGCAAGGUUCGAGUCCUCACGCACCUCCAGGCGUUGAAUGCCCAUGGAAACUGCCAUCCGGAGACUGUGUAAUAGGGCCUCAUAUUCGGCAGCGUUGUUGGAGUCUAUGUAUAGUAUUUGGAGUACGUAUUGGACUGUAUCUCCGGUGGGGGACGUCAGGACGACGCCAGCCCCCAGACCAGCCAGCAUUUUAGAGCCAUCAAAGUGCAUGAUCCAAUUGGAGUACGCGCCAUACUCUUUAGGGAGUUCGGCUUCUGUCCACUCGGCGACGAAAUCGGCCAGUACUUGUGAUUUAAUGGCUUGUCGUGGUCUAUAUGUUAUGUCGAACGGGAGGAGCUCGAUGGCCCAUUUGGCAAUCCGGCCCAUGGCAUCACGGUUGUUUAUUAUGUCGUUGAGUGGUACUUCUGAGGCCACCGUAAUUGAACACUCUUGAAAGUAGUGUCGUAAUUUCCGGGAUGCCAUGAAUACCGUGUAUGCUAUCUUUUGGUAAUGUGGUACCGUGAUUUGCAUGCAGUGAGGACAGUGGAUACAUAAUAUAUCGGCUUUUGAAGUGGGAAUUUAUGUCCGUCCGUCUCUCGUUCGACGACGAGCACUGCGCCUACAACUUGGUGUGUUGCCGCUAUAUAUAACAACAUUGGUUCGCCGAGAUUUGGCGCGAACAAGAUUGGGUUAGUGGCCAGGAUGGCUUUGAUUUCUUCCAAUCCGGCCAUGGCUGUGUCCGUCCACUUGAAGUGUUCGGUGCAUCGAAGAAGGCGAUAAAGGGGGAGUGCCUUUUCUCCUAAUUGGGAGAUAAAGCGGCUUAAGGCCGCCACACAUCCAGAUAACUUCUGGAUUUGCUUGAGGUCAGUUGGGAUAGCCAACUGCAACAGAGCUCGGAUUUUAGUCGGAUUUGCUUCAAUUCCUCUACUGGAGACGAUGAAGCCCAGGAGCUUUCCGGUGGGUACGCCGAAAAUGCAUUUUUCCGGAUUGAGCUUAAUGUCGUAUGUUCGGAGAUUGUCGAAUGUGAGCCUCAAGUCGUCUAUUAAGGAGUCGAUGUGUCUGGUUUUAAUGACCACAUCAUCUACGUAUGCCUCCACUGUUUUGCCGAUCUGCUUUCCAGACAUGUUUGAAUCAUGCGCUGAUACGUUGCGCCGGCGUUUUUGAGCCCGAAGGGCAUUGUGUUAAAACAGAAGGGGCCGUAUGGAGUGAUAAAUGCCGUUGCGGCUUGAUCGGACUCCGCCAUCUUAAUUUGGUGGUAACCGGAGUAUGUGUCGAGGAAUCACAAUGAGUCAUGUCCUACGGUGGCGUCGAUAAUUUGAUCGAUGCGAGUGAGGGGGAGGGAUCCUUUGGGCAAACCUUAUUAAGGUAUUUGAAGUCGACGCAUAGGCGCCAGGAUUUGUCCUUCUUUGGUACCAUUACCAGGUUUGCUAGCCAGUCUGGAUGUUUUAUUUCUCUGAUGAAUCCGGCCUCCAGUAACUUGGCUAGCUCCUCUCCCAUGGCUUGUCACUUAGGUUCGGAGAAACGCUGAAGAGUCUGCUUGACCGGCUUGAAUCCCUUUAGAAUGUUAAGGCUAUGCUCGGCCAGCCUGCGUGGGAUUCCUGGCAUAUCUGAAGGAUGCCAGGCGAAUAUGUCCCAAUUCUCACGCAGGAACUCCCGUAGUGCUGCGUCUACAGCGGGGUUUAACUGUGCCCCGAUGGACGCUGUUUUUGUGGGGUCCGUUGGAUGGAGUUGGAAUUUGACUAUUUCAUCCGCUGGUUUGAAAGAGGUGGACUUGGAUCUUUUGUCGAGUAUCACGUCGUCCCUGUCCACUGUGGAGCGCAGCGUAGUUAAUUCCUCCGCCGCAAGGGCUUCGGAUAAUGCCUCGGGGGCCAGUGCGGCUGUUUUGUUCUCGGCAUGGAGUGCUAUGUCCGGAUCACUAGCUAGAGUGAUGAUUCCAUUAGGCCCGGGCAUUUUGAGCUUCAUGUACCAAUAAUGGGGUAUGGCUUGGAAGAUCAGGAAUGCCUCCCGCCCUAGAAGGGCGUGGUAUCCGCUACUGAACGGGGCCACUUGGAAUGUAAUUUCUUUGGACCUGUAAUUCUCCGUAGUGUCGAAUACCACAUCUAGUGUGAUUUUCCCAGCGCAACGUGCCUCCUGACUGGGGAUGAUUCCUCCGAAGGUUGUGCUGCUUUGCUCAAUACGGUUUCUACCUAUUUCCAUUUUUUGAAGAGCCUCCUCAUAAAUGAGGUUUAAUCCACUGCCGCCGUCCAUGAGCACUUUAGUAAGCCGAAAGCCGUCCACAAUUGGACUGGGGACCAAGGCGGCUGGUGCUCGGGUUGUUCAGAAUUUAGGUUCGUCACUAGCAUUGAAGGUGAUAGCCGUGUCGCUCCAUGGAUUUAUUGCUGCCACAUGGCAGACUUCGGCAAGGCUGCGGAGUGCUCGCUUACGCCUAUUAUUUGAGGCAAAGGUCUCUAAGACUGUUAGUACUAUAUUGUUAUCCACGGGAUGGUGCUCUGCGGUGUUUUAAAUGAGGAGAUCCUCACCGCUCUUGGCCACCUGCCGGAGUACCCAACAUGCUCUAAGGCUGUGUGUUGGUAUGGUAACCGUUGUACUAUGAAUUUUGCAGGGCCCGUUAAGCCAUCCCUCCAAUACGGUUCCACGCCCUGCAGUGGGCUUUUGCUUCUUUGUAAUUGAAUCAGGCGACUUAUGAGAGUGCACCCUUUUAGUUCGGACUGGGGGUUUUGUCAGAGCCGGAUUAUCCCAAAAUUUUGUUUGGGUUUUCCAGGCGCUUUCCAUCACACAGUACUUCCGUACUAUGGCCGCCAAGUCAGCGAAGUGUGCAAUGUCACGGCAACUUAUGGCGUUGAGGAUUCCCUUGUCCGUACAAUUGUUGCAGAAGAACGAAAUUGCGUCUUCCUCGCGACAGUCCUUGACCUUGUUCAUUACAAGGAGGAAUCUGGCCCAAUAGUGAUGUACUAUCUCUUGGGGCUCUUGCCUAAUGUGGGAAAGAUCGUUUAUAUCUGGGUUGGUGGGUGGAUUUAAGUCCAGACCUUGACCCAAUCUAAGACCAAGGGGCGGAGGAGUUCUGAUCUUGGAAGUUCGGGCUCCGGGAUGUUGCCCCGCAGGUUUGGCAUGCAGCCUGAUUCUAGGUUCGGGUUUAGGGCGAUGUCCUCCCGUGGACGGGUAUCCGGCUGAGAGAGCUCGGGAAUCCGGACAUAGUUCGUCCUCAGGAUAGAGGAAGAAUCUCCACAUUUCUCUUCCACCACCGCUAUCUCAUGGGUGACCGACAGAGAGUUAAUCUCCCUUUGGUCAGGUUUAAGCCCAAUCCGAUCGCAGUCCGUAGCGACUCCCAGGGUGGCGAUGCGAUCCAAGAGCUCGUUAAAAGAGGUGAGCUCCAUUGGAUCCAUCUGCUCGGUGAAUUUUGAGCCGAUGUGGAGGCUAUUUUCGAUGACCCGAGAAGUCAUCGUCGGCGCAGCGGCCGAGCGGGCGAUCAUGACGAAGCCGCUUAGUCGGAGAGUUUGGCCUACAGCCAGGGCUCCCCCAGAGGUGAUGUUGUUCUUGACAACGAGACGAGCCAUCCCUCCUUAUGAUGAUGACACAGUGGAACUC
rnacentral:lncRNA from 1 species